rnacentral:lncRNA from 1 species
AAAGUUAUUUUAAGAAUGAUUUGCCACCAGGUUUUAUGAUUGUAGUUGCCUGGUUAUUGUUCUAUUUUCUGUUGGGAUAAGCAUUGUAUGAUUUCUUUUUUGUUCCUAAGGAUGUUCCGUCUCAUGUAGAUUGAGGGUUGCUUAUUUGUUGACGACCGUUCGCUUUGAUUGUACUUCUCAAUUUCAUUAAUAUUCAUUUUGUUUCCUAUUUAAAAAAAUGGUAGGUCGAAGGAGUUCCUUUGAUGACGAAAGGCAUAUUUCCAUGCUUCUGGCGAGCAUCAACAGAUAAUGACAAAGGAGGAGGUGCCAGUAGUUAUUUCUCCUUAUGGAAAGCUGCUCAUAUUGAUAACCUUCAUCAUAUUACCCAAAGCUGUUCUAUACAGAAUAAGACGGACCAUCUUGUGAAAAUAGUUGUGGCUUUUCAUGGUGUUCCAAAGAGUGAGGAUGCUUUAUAUAAGAGGAAAAAGAUAAAAAUUGAAGUUGAUGUGAUUUACACAAUUUACGGUUCAGGAGAUGUUGUUGUUGAAUGUAAUGUAAGACCAAGUUCGAACCUUCGACUUCUGCCGCGUGUGGGAGUUGAGUUCCAUUUGGAUAAGUCAAUGGAUCAGAUUAAGUGGUAUGGAAGAGGACCAUUUGAAUGUUAUCCAGACAGAAAAGCAGCUGCUCAUGUUGCAGUCUAUGAGCAGAAAGUGGAUGACAUGCAUGUCCCUUAUAUAGUUCCUAUGGAAUGUUCAGGUAGGGCAGAUGUUAGAUGGGUGACAUUCCAAAACAAGGAUGGUUUCGGAAUAUAUGCAUCAGUGUAUGGCAGCUCUACGCCUAUGCAAAUAAAUGCAAGUUACUACACCACAGCUGAGCUUGAUCGGGCAACGCAUAAUGAAGAUCUUAUCAAAGGAGAUGACAUUGAGGUAAUUUAUUCUACAUCAUCAAUCCAUAUCUUUCAUUUCAGUACCAGUAGAUUGUUUCUGGACAUCCAUUAUGAGUAAUAUACAGAGGAUGGUUUAUGGUUUAGGGUCUAGGGUAUAUGGUUUACUGUGUUACAGGUUCAUCUUGAUCACAAGCACAUGGGCCUGGGUGGGGAUGAUAGUUGGUCGCCCUGCGUCCAGCACGAGUAUCGGGUUCAUGCUGAUCCAUACUCAUUUUCAAUUAGGCUGUGCCCGAUAACCCCUGCAACCUCUGGCCAAGUCAUGUACAAAACUCAACUUCAAAAGUAGUAGACAUGAUGGGCUCGAGAACUUGGUAAUGAGUACUGAGUGAUUGACAAUGUAUGUGGCCAUGAAUAAGAUGGCUAGCUCAUUUGCAACAAAUAAUAUAAAGGCAAAACUUAUCAGUCUGUAAUAUUCUGAUUAUGAAACAUUUGUAUUUAAUAGUGCUUUUGUCUGAAGCAUUUUAGUGGUGGAUCAUGCCUACUACAAUCAAUCUAAGAAAUUUAGUACUUUCCCUCCUAUUUGUCACUUUACUUAACAUGCCUACUAAAGUCAGUCCUAAAGAUACUGCAGUCAAAUUUAUGAUUGAGUGUGCUCUGCCUCCUUAUAUUUUUUGGCAAUAUUUUCAUGUAGUUUUAUUUAAGUAUGUAUGUAGGAAUGUCAUGUAUUGCCCACUCCUUUAGUCCAUGUUGAUUCAUCAUAUUCUGGAAAGUGAAUAAGUAAACAGAAUUCAUUUAUUUCUUUAAAUGCCUUCCGCAAGUUGCUACCUAGAAUAAGUGUUGCCUUUGCUGAAAUAUUUUUAUUACUGUGUAGCUCCUUGAUGCAUAAUUUGGGGUAACUAUGCAACCUUCCGGUUUAAUAUUAGUUAGAUAUCCGAUGGGUGAUCCGGUCAAAGAGGGUCAACAGCUCCAGAACAAAAUUGGUGAAGCUUUACCACCUACGUAGCAUUUUGUUUUUAUCAAACUUGUUGAUUUAGCUAAAUCAUUGAGAGAGAGAGAGAGAGAGAGAGAGAGAGAGAGAGAGAGAGAGAGAGAGAGAGAGAGAGAGAGAGAGAGAGAGUUUGACAUAUUAUGUGGUCUCCAUGUCAUUGACAAAAGAAAUUGGAUUUGGCAUGUAUUAUAUAUAUUGCUUUCGUUUUUUAGUGGUAUAAAACUAAUGUGUGACAGUGUGUUUGGUGUAAUAUUUAUGUAUUCUUACGUCGCAGAUAUAACAAUCAGCUUUCUGGUUUUUUCUUUGAAUCGAUAAUUGCAGUUUUAGUUAAAGGAGGGGAGGUGGAAACACAAUAACGUGAUAUCUUGGCCAGAAAAAAAAACCAGUAACUUGAUAAGAGAAACACCGCCAGUACAAAGUCCACCAUAGUAAUGUAGAUCAUCCCUGUUGUUACCAUACCAUGUAAAUGCUUUUCUUAUUCGAUCUGGAAGUCUGCAUGCCUUCUGGAUUUAAGAGCCCUAGAGAUCGUGAAAAUUUCCAACUCAAAUGAAUUCAUAAAUCAAAAUUAAGUUGUUUACAUGGCAUAAUCAUAUACAAUGUUUACUUUGUUGACAUCCAUUUCCCCUAUUGUGUUUGAAAGUUUACCUGUGGCUCCACAUUAGAACUAUAAAGACAGCCUACUUAACAAUUUAAGCUUACUUGUUUGCAGUGAACAUUGCUCCUUUUAUCAUUCCUGUGCAGAAAAAAGAUCCGACUCCCCAUGCUUGAUGUUCUUCCUUCAAGCAACUGAUGAUUUGGAGACCACUACCACUUUGCAAUACUAUGCGGACUUGAUUUGCCCUGUUCUUUUAGAAACAAUAAUAAAAGGUAGCUUUAGAGUUAUAUGUAAAGAGUGCAAAACUAAUUUAAUAUUUGAGUUCCCUUUGUUUCCAAUGGAUGUUGCUCUUUUCAUUUGUUUUGCAACUCACAUAUAUAACAGAAAUGUUCCUAGCUAUUAUAUGCAAUUUGUAUGUUAUGAUUAUGGCUGUUUGUUCACAGUCUCUCUCUCUCUCUCUCUCUCUCUCUCUCUCCCCACUUCUGUGUUGUACGUAUCCCCUUUUUAUUAAAGUUGCUGUCGAAGGUUUAUCUUUAGUUUUUUCUCAGAAGUGGACUCCUUAUUUACCAUCUUUCUACUCUUUUCUUUUUAAAGAAAAAUUUAGUUUCUUAUUAAAAAUAUAAAAAAAAGUAUUGGAAAGUCUUAGUACUGAUUAUUGGAAAGUCUAGCUUGUCAGUUGUUGUAUGGGUUGGAAUUUAAAUUAGGAGAGACUUAAUGAAGCUGAAAUAGGGGAGUUUUCCUCUCUUUAUUUAUUUGAUUGAAAAUCCUUCAUUGUGUCCGGACCAGGGUGAUAGAAGGGCUUGGAAAUUUGAAUAUUCUAAAUCCUUUUUAUUUUUCUUGCAACUCCUGUCUUUACCUUUUUUCAACCGAUCCCAAUUGAUAUGAAAGACUAAGGGCCCUAGUAAAUCCUUGUUUGGUUAGGUGCUCAUGGGAUGGUCGUUACUUGUGACAAUAUCCAACUUAAGAGGCCAAAUAUGUGCCUAUCAGCCGAUUGGUGUUAAAUGUGCAUGAAUGCAGAACAUAUUGACCAUCUAUUUCUAGAUUGAGUUCAUGUAUAGUCAUUAGUUGAAAAUGUGGCUUUAGGGAAAAGCAGGAAGGCUAAAUCUUAGGGGCGGAGGAGUGGUCUUAAUGGAUAGGGUGGUGUUUUGGACAAUUUGGGCAUCAGUAGUUGCUGAGUUUAGAGAUAUUCGUUUCAUUGUCCUUAAUUUAGUUCGGGUUGCUGCAGUUAGCUGAUCUUUAGAGUUUUGGCGCUGGUGAUCGAAGCAUUUUUUUUAUAUAUUUUGUGUUAUUGUUGCUUUGUCUAAAUGGUGUACUUCUUGUUUAAUGCUGGACAAUAUUUUGUAACUUUUCUUUUAGUAAUGCCUUCAUUUUUAUAAAAGCUUUUUAAUUUGGUUCUCAUAUGAAUCAUGUCUUUCUAAUGGACAGGUGACCCUCGUAUUGGCUCAGCCAAUAUCAUUUGGAUUGAUCCAGAUACAACAACUUGGAUUAGAAGCCCAAACAAAUCUCACAAGGGUGAAUGAGCCUUGGAUGUUGUUCUGGAGAAAUCAGUCAUCAAGCAAAGUGGUGAUGCAUGGAGAACAGUGCUCGAUUCUUGCCUUCCAGUGCUUCACCUAAUUGACACCAGACGUUCCAUCCCGUAUGCCAUCAAACAAAUUCAAGAAUUGUUGGGGGUGUCUUGUGCUUUUGAUCAAGCAGUUCAGGUACUGUCAUACAGGCUCACAGUUUAGUUGUUUCUAGUAGAGGUGGUAAUAAGGUUGGGGGAUAUCAUGAUUUGGUGGUGUCAUAUGGCAACAUAACCUAAAAAAUAUAGUUUUUUGAGCUGUAUGACUUGAUUCAAAUUUUAUAUUAGUCGUUGUACGUUUGGGUAGAGACAGAGUAAACUGUAAUUUAACUCUAGGAAUUUCUUUAUUUCAAAGCCAUAUCCAUUACUCGAUCCAUCUUCUGUCAAAUGAAAAUGCACUCCAUCCAUGUGUUAGAAGGCCUAAGAAAGAAGAAACAAAUUUUCUGAUUCUAGAAAGAUUCAUACCAUACCAAUCAAGAAGUAAACAGAAAAAAGUCUGAAAUUUUCUCAUGCAAAUGUUGAACAGUCUGUUUUGUCAAAAUCUGGUGUUUCUGGUGUUUAGUCUAAUAUGUUCCAACUUAGUCUAUCCAAUUUUCCAAUUUACAAAUGGAUCAACCUUUUUAUCGUUCUUGUUACCAAGUAGGGUAAAUUCAAGUAAUAGUGACAUUUUUGUGUUGGGAUGAUAUUCUGUUGCUGCAUUGCUUAGAAAAUUAUCAGUCUUGGUUUCCAGUAGCUUCUAUUAUAUCCGUGUAAUACGCUUCUCUCCCGUUGGAGUGUUUGACUUUCUGGACAUCUCAUUCUUCAUACAAUUUAAUUCUUCACUACCCUUUCUUUCUAGUGGGAGUGCUUUAGCGCAUCAGUUGUGUUUAAAAUUGUAUGUUUCAUAUGCUUAUUAGAGGGAUUCAAAUGACUAAUCUUCAUUAGCUGUGGACCUCCUUUUAAAAUUUCGAUCUUUGCGUAAUUGUGUGGCUGUAUUUCUGGUUCCCUCUGGCAUGCUACCGUACAUCUUAUGAAAUUUAACUUUUCUAGUUGUCAAUGAAAAUUGGAACAUAUUAGACUAAGUUUCUGGGUGAUAUGAGAUACUUAUUCUACUUUUCAAUUAAGAAUACAUUUUAUGAUUGAUUACGCAGCGCCUCUCAACGGCAGUGACAAUGAUGGCAAAAGGUGUUCUGAAAGAGCAUCUUAUCCUCCUGGCAAAUAGCAUGACAUGUGCAGGAAAUUUCGUGGGAUUCAAUUCGAAUGGGUACAAAGCACUAUCUCGGGCAUUGAAUAUUCAAGUACCAUUUACGGAAGCAACACUGUUUGUAAGUAAUUGAAAUUUUUGUCUAAUUCUGUGAAAGGGCAUUUACUUAUAGUUACUGGUUAAGAUGAAUUACAAUCACAACUGAUUUCAGUACUCACAUGUGGUUGUAGACACCAAGAAAGUGUUUUGAGAGAGCAGCUGAAAAGUGCCACAUGGAUUCGUUGGCGAGCAUAGUUGCAUCAUGUUCCUGGGGUAAACAUGUUGCUGUGGGUACUGGCGCGAGGUUUGAUGUCCUGUGGGACACAAGAGAGGUAUUUCAUAAUUUUUAAUGCACUUGUGAAUUCUCAGUCGUAUUAAAUUUAGUCUUAUCUGCUGCUAAUGUUUCGCACCAUUUAAAUCUUAAUUUUUUUCUAGGUAGAAUUGACUCAAGAGGGUGGACUUGAUGUUUUCAACUUUCUGCAUAUGGUGAGCACUGCAAACGUAGAAGAAGCAACUACAGGAGCUCUCGGUGCUGAAGUUGAUGAUCUAAUGCUAGUUGAUGAAAUGGCAGAUUCAAGCUUCUCGCCAGAACUCAACUCCAGUUUUGAUAGGCCCGUCUUCGAAGAUCUUGUUGAAUUUGAUGAUAAAUUAGGAGAUCUUCCCGAAAAAUCAAACUGGGAAAAGGAUUCCUCCUUCCACACCGAUUCUAAUGGGGGGAAAGACUGGAGCGUCGACAAAAAUGUGGGAACUGUGGCAGUACCUGACGUUUGGUCAAGCUGGGGUACAGAUAAAGGGUAAACACAAGAUAGCAACUCAGCAGAAGCCCAGUUGGAUUCCAAGAAAUCCAGUGUUUUGGAUACCUCGUCUGCGUGGGGGAAAAACCCAGCAAAAGAAAAUACGACAUCUACAUGGGGGACAACUACGGCAAGUGAAAAUGAUUGGUGUGGUAGAGGGGUAGGUGAGGAUGAUUUUGUAAGCUUGUCUGGGAAGAAAUCUGGUGUUUUGAAUACCUCAUCUGCGUGGGCGACAAAUACUGCCAGAGAAGAUGCUGCAUCUGCCUGGGGAACAAAUCCAGCAAAAGAAAAUACCACAUCUACAUGGGGCACAACUACGGCAAGUGAAAAUGAUUGGUGUGGUAGAUGGGUAGGUCAGGAUGAUUCUGCAAGCUUGUCUGUGAAGAAAUCCAGUGUUUUGGAUACCUCGUCUGCGUGGGCGACAAAUACUGCCAGAGAAGAUGCUGCAUCUGCCUGCGGGAAACAGCCAGCAAAAGAAAAUGCCACAUCUACAUGGGGCACAACUUUGGCAAGUGAAAAUGAUUGGUGUGGUAGAGGAGUAGGUCAUGAUGAUUCUGCAAGCUUGUCUGGGAAGAAAUCCAGUGUUUUAAAUACCUCAUCUGUGUGGGCGACAAAUACUGCCAGAGAAGAUGCUACAUCUGCCUGGGGGGAAAAUCCAGCAAAAGAAAAUACCACAUCUACAUGGGGGACAACUACGGCAAGUGAAAAUGAUUGGUGUGGUAGAGAGGCAGGUAAAGUUGAACCAGUAGACUUCCAGCCUACAAAACCCCAGGAUGAUUCUGCAAGCUUGUCUGGGUGGGAUUCACCUACCGGAGAUGGGAAUUCUGGUGAACGAAAUCAUCAGUGGGGACAGCAUCGUGGAGACCAAACAAAGAAAAGUCGUUUUGAAGGUGCAAGGAAUUGGGUUUCAAGUCCUGGGGAAUGGAAGAAUAAGAACCGUCCUCCUAAGUCGCCUGGAAUGGUGAAUGACAAUUCUACCAUGGGUGCAUUAUAUACUGUAACAAGACCGAGAUUGGAUAUGUUCACUUCCGAGGAGCAUGUUCUUUCUAAUAUUGAGCCAGUUAUGCGCUCCCUCCGAAGGAUAAUGCAUCAAUCUGGGUAUGUUUUCUAUCUAUGUACUUUCUUAACAAUUCGGACCAGGCAGAUCAAAAUAAUGGAUACUUUUCAAUUUUCUAAAGGAGAAAUGAUUCUUAUAUAGGAAGACCAGAUGUUUUUUGUCUUGCUAAGUGUCUUAUAAGUAAGAGUCCAUUUGAAGUCAGGGGAAUACUUUUAGUUUAGAGUGACAAGAAACUAAUGAUUUGAAUAAUUAUUUAUUAGUGUGCAAUGUUCUUUUGGUGAUUUGGAUGGAAAGGAACGGUUUUGCUCAAAGCCAAAGUUGGGCAGUUUGUCGACUAUUUAUGAGAUAUGGCUAGACUUUGGGCCUCUCUAUGGGCUUCAGUCUCAUCUGUAUCAUGAUUGCCCAUUCUUUCUCUUAAAUUUGGAAAGGGAAGCAAGCUGCUAUAUCGUAGUUGCCCUGAUUGUACUUUGGGGCUUUUGCUCUGUUUUCUGCAUUGUUGGACGCUGUACUGUCAUACUUUUCUUUUGGUUUCUAUAAAUUGUAGGCUUUGUGCAGUGUAUUUUCUGGUCUUCUAGUCCACUUUGAUUGUACUUCCCAUUCAUAUUAAUUUGCAUGUUGAAGUCUGAAGUCUAUUUUUACAUAAAAUUAAUUAUAACAACUAUAAAAGAAAGACAUCUAAUAAAGUGAUGAAUUUUACAUAUUACAUUGGACUUUCCUUUGGAGAUGUCUUAGGGAUAUCAUAUCUUCACUGAUCUCCAUAUGAAACAAUUGAUUUCAUUUUUGGACAUUAUCCAGUCACUUUGCAUAUGUUAUAGCUUCGUGCCGUGUUGUGCAACUGUUUGAUAUUUCCUUCCUUUUUUGAAUAUUUUAAUUGUAGCAAUAUCUUUGCAUGGUGUUCGACAAUGCUGUAACUUAAUUUCUGGUUUUUAAAUUAUUUUAUGCAGGUACAAUGAUGGGGAUCCACUGUCAGGUGACGAUGAAUCGUUUGUACUUGAUAAUGUCUUCAAUUACCACCGGAUAAAGCAGCUAAAAUGGGUUGUGGAAUUGAUCAUCUCACAGUAUGUUCAUCUACCCUGUUCUUGCUUAACUACGUUUUAUUUGGAAUUAUAUUUCUGUACACAUUUGAUACAUUGGAUUAAGAAUCUGUGACUGAUGAUUUUAUUGUUAUACUGAUUAUUCUAAUAUUCAUUUUAUUUUUUAUGGAAGCUGGACAUUUAUACAGAUUUUCCUAGAUUGUCCAUUGAGUAUAAACUCCAGGUGUAUUGUUGCAUACCUAAAUUUGUUCUGGAGCUCAAUGGAAAUUUUGAAACCUUUUUUUAUGUCAAUAUUUAUCAUUAGCAAAGAGCUGUUGCACAUAGGGAGUUGAUUCAAAUGGGGUUUAGUCAGAAAAAAUCAUUUUCAUGUCUUUUGGUUUAGAUACUCACGCAUGGUACCAGGCUGCUAAGGUUGGUGAUCUAGUUCUUCAGAUAAGGGGAAUAAAUACUCGUCUUUAAACAUGAAUUAAGACUAUGGUUCAUUUGAAGGGGUUUUUAAGUCUGGGGACAAGUAGUGAUUGGGAAGAGGUUUUCUUUCUUAGUACUUGGAAAACAUAUCAAGGCUGGAAUGUCCGGUAUUGUUUACCUUUUUUGCAGGAACCACUGUCUUGUAAUAACUGCCAAUAUGUGUCUUAUUUUGUAAAAUAUUCCACUAAUUUACACCGCUAUUGGUAUGACAGGUUAAUAGGCAUGGUAGUUUCCAGGACAGCAGAUGCUUCUUUGUUGUGUCAACAGACAGUCGUACGGAAGAUUUUUCAUAUUGGAAUAUGUAAAAUAAUUAACUGCUGUCCUCGUCUUCUUACAGCUGCUGGAAACUCUUCAUCUUCCAACAGUUGUAUUGUCUUGGUACUGUAAAAGCCUUUAUUAAUUCUAACGACUGUAAAAGGCUUGCCUAUAUAUGCAGCCUGUUGUACUGAUAUCUAUAUGAUGAAUAAGAAUCUCAAACUCCACCGGGGAUGUAGGCUCAAAAUUGCCGAACCUCGGUAAACUUGUGGUGUUCUGUUUUCUUCUUUCUCUGAUUUCUACAUGUUAUCAGAGCAGGACCUUUGAAAAGUUCCCCAAUGUAGCCGAAACUUUCAUUGGCAAGUAUUUCUCUAGUAGAGGGAAUCGAGAGCGGAACCCAACUCUAAGUCAAACCUCCACUCCAGAGCAAACUGAGAAUGCGGAGACGCAGUAGAAAAUGUCUAUUUCCUGGGCAAGUGUCAUUUUGAGAUUCUCAUGUAAUUAGCUGUAAACAUUCUGCUCCUCUGUUUUUUGAUUUGUAUAUAUUAGGCAGUUGUUAGCAGCUCCUGACAAACUCAGUUUGUUUUCUUUUUUCUUUUUCUGGGUUUGAUCUUAGAGCAUUUUAGUUAACCUGUUGGUAACUACUGGAUGCUGUUAAACUAAACCCUUAAUUGGGAGAUAUUGCAGGUAAAAAAUCAAUUGUCGAUGAAAUGCAGAAGUGUUACCAAUAUCAUUCAUCAAUGGCUUCUAUUUCUUUAUUAAUCAUUUUGGUACUGAGACUUGCUGCCUCUCUGAUGACAGCUCAAUUAGGCCUUCAUCAUUGCUCAUGGUUCAUGGUUUUGGGUUUAUCUGUGAAGUGAUUAGCUGCUGCUUCUGUGUGCUGGAAGGGAAAUGUUUUGCUGAUUAGCAAAGCAGCUCUCAUACUGCCAAUCACACUUCUGAUUUGGAAAUUUUAUUUUUGUUUCUAUUUUUCUGAUAAGGAAUUGAUGAUACUGGGCCAUGAUAAAUAGCUGUGCAAAUGAACAUGAAGAACUUGGUUCAUUAUACAGAGUUAAAAAGAGUCUAAUGCACCCUAGUAAAUACUUGAGCUCAGGUUCAGAUAGAUUACAAAAGUGAGUUGAAUCCAAUCAAUCAUUUCUUGAACAAUCAGUACAAGAAAUACUCACAUUAGAUUAGUCAUAGGCCAAUAUCUACCAUUAGUUUCAUUAAAAUGAAGGAAACCCUUACAAUUUCAUGCAUAUUGGUUGUCAAUCUUCAAUUCACUUGGUAUAUCUUAAAAAAUAUUUGCAGGAAAGUUAUUGAUGUCUAUAUUUAUUCCUGCGCAAAUCACUGUUUGCAGGAGUAUAGGUAAAAUUGUAGAUUUUGACAAUAUUAUUAUUUAUUUCUUUAACAUUUUAUUUAAUUGGUGCAUGACAAAUCGAAUUCUUAUUUGUGGUUUUUCCUUAAUUUCAAUUUGUCCAUGUAGUUUCAAUUAAGUCGUAGUUUUGUUGCUUGUUUCAAUUAAGUCCCUUAUACGUGCACUGCAUGUGCCAUAUUAUUAAACAUUGUAUAUUUAAGGGCAAGGUCGUCAUUUAAUGUGAAAUAAUUUCGUCUUUUUCUUCUUGUUAGGACUUGUAGUUUGCCUAUUAAAAAUAAAAAUGAAAAAUGAUUGCAAGUGGCUUGUAAUUCAAGUGGUUAAAAGUAUUUAUCUCUUCACUUGAGGUCUUAGGUUCAAUUCCCUCCUCUAUCAAUAUCGCUUGUAAAAAAAUUAAAAAUUAAAAAGGUUAACGAUGCACAUGCAACAUAUAUUGUUUAAAGUGCUAUAGAGGUUCGAAUAUAAGACCAUAGGUUUGCAAGUCAAUGUCAUUUUUCACUAGGCUAUAUGUUGCAUGGACACUCAAGAUACUCUCCAAACACGGAUCAACUCAUACUUAAGAUCAGUUAAUGUGUUAAUUCAAUUAUAAUUCAUAAGAAAUUAAUAAACUACAUUUGAAAGACUUGGAAAGCUUGAACUUCACUAUAUAUAAUUGUGAAAUUGAAGUAUUAACAUCAAUAUUUUGUUUUUCAAUUAAAUAAUUAUUUUUUAUUGUCGUGUUCUAGUUUUUUGAGAUUUUUCGUUUUCCCGUAUCCCUAUAUUCCCGUGUCACAUAUCCGUGUCGCCGUGCUGGUGUCCCUACAACACCUAUACUCCUUUGGCUUUAGCUCAGGAUUUUAUUUCUAACAAAAUUUAACAAUAAAUACCUGAUUGAAAAUAUUAUGCGACGACUAUGCUGCUAGUUUUUUGGAUGAGAAAUUUCCACUCUUAUUAGGGGAAGAUCCGCUCUUUUAGCCCACUUUUUUAGACAUCUAUUAGACUGUAGGGCACCAAUGGAGUGGUUUAACACUUAGUAAAUUUAGGUUUGUAAAUUUAGGUUUUAGUCACAAAACCAAAAUUCUGGAAAAAUAUAAAAUUAAAACCAAAAUCCAAUUUUCCUUGAAAAAUAUAAAACUAGGGAUGUGAUUUCCCCACUUCCUUUUUCUCCACUUACAGUCCCCUUUGCUUUUUAAUACUUUUUAAUCAAUUUUGUUAUUUCUCUUUUCUAUUCUACCCUUGCCCUACAUUAAUUUCUUUUUACUUCACUUUUAAUUAGUUCUAAUUAAGUGUAAAGAAAAAGAACUAAUAUAAAAGUGAAGUAAAAAGAAAUUAAUGUAUGGCAAUGGUAGAAUAGGAAAGAGAAAGAACAAAAUUGAUUAAAAAGUAUUAAAAAGCAAGAAAGAGUGUAAGUGAAAAAAAGAGAGUGGGAAAAUCAAAUCCCUAAAACUAAAACCAAAAUCCAAUUUUCCUCAAUAAAAAAAACCCCCAUUAUCCAUUUCUUUUUCUCGUGAAGCAAAUACAAUAAUAUAUUAUCAGUCACCCCCGUCUUGAUGUUUUACUGCUUUAAAGUACUUUGAGUCUGAUUGAUCCACAAGAUCAGCUACCAGUCCACUGAUAUGUGGUGGAAGUGAUCGGUUUACUACUAAGAAUCAGCCAUGGCUUCUUCUUUACCGGGUCAACUCGUUUUUCUCUUAGAGAAUGGACAUCAUGUGUGGGAGGACCAAUCUCUCAUCAAGUGGAGGAAGAGAGAUGCACAUGUCCCUUUACGUUGCCAUGAUUCAAUUGAAGGUGAGGAACUAAAACCAUUCCAAUUUCAGUUUCGUAUUUGGAUUAAGAGUGUUUUCAUGUUGCUGGAAGUUUUGCUUUGUUUCACGUUGUCUUGUUAAAUUUUGGUUAAUGGAGUUUUUUGUUGCUGGAAUUUUGUAAAUGUUUGGGAUAUAACUGUUAAGUCUGUUUGAUUCAGAAUCACAUUCAAUCUUCAGAUGAAGAGUUCUAUGAAGUGGGUUUAUGAUCGUGAAUAAGGGGAUUUCAUGUGAUAAAAAUAAUAUGAAGUACUCAUGUAAUGCUAGUAUAUUAUAAAUGCAUUUAGCUAUUUUCUUUAUUAUAAAUUUCAGGUUCUACAUGCAAUAUUUAUUGGAAAUGAUUUAGCCAUGUCAUUUAGAUGUUUCGACUUUGCAAAUUAUACAAACACACAUUGAGUAUGUAUAAUAAUUAUGUAUAAGCAAGCUCAUCGAUUGGCCUGACACAUUUUGAAUUUUUGUUGGAGUUUUGUUGCAUUGGUUUUUGGUAAAAAAUCAUUUUCUCAAAUAUGAAGAGUGAAUAGGGAAACAUGGUAUGCAGUUGUGAAUAUGUGUAGAAUCUGACAUUGUUCAGAAACUGCAUCAUGGUAUGGUAUAUGAGCUUGAGCUUGACGUUGCAUCUUGCCAUCAAGAUGAGCUUUUGGUAUAGGAACAUGGGACAGGAAUCUUGUACCUAUUCCCAAGCCUUGAAAUCACGAAACAUGGUCUACGUUAUAGGCACAUAGAGGGAUUCUAAUUGGUAUAAUGGUUUGGGUCCAUGAUGCAGAACCCCCCCUCUCUAAGUUCUGUGUGUUAUUUUAUCUUAUCAUUGGCUUGGAAUCUUACUUCUUUUCUAUUUCUUUUAGAAGAUAUCUGAUGUUCGUUAUGUGAUGUAGGAUCUCUUAAAUACUGGUAUGAGCGCAACAAAGUGAAUUUUCUGGUAUCCAACUCUGCUGUUUGGGAUGAUGAUGCUGUUCCUGGAGCUCUUGAUAGCGCAGCCCUUUGGGUCAAGGACUUGCCUUUUGUGAAGUCUUUGUCAGGCUAUUGGAAAUUCUUCUUGGCUUCGAGUCCUAGAAAUGUUCCUGUAAAUUUUUAUGACACUGCAUUUCAGGAUUCUGAGUGGGAAACCUUACCAGGUAAGCAUAUAUGUAUCUUUCACUUUUUCUUGCCUUAAAAUCUGACAAUCUACACAUAUAUUUGGUAUGCUGUGUUAGAAUAUAGCAGUGAUAGUUGUUUCAUAAAAUCAUUAAUGAAAUUUGUUUCAUUGCAAAAUAUGUAUCUAUUCCUGCAUGCCAGAAACUUAUUGCAUCGUUUUACUUCAACUACGAGUUUUCUCUGCGCUGUUUCUUUAUAUAUUCUUAUUUGCAACAGUGUAGUAUUGCAUUCGAGGUAAUUUUAUGGCUAAGUGAGAGAAUUUUGAAGGCAUGUUUAGUAACGUGUAUGAAAUGUUUGGGUUAUAAUGAGGGGAAUUUUUUAUUUUUUAUUUUUAGUUUUUUCUGUAUUUCAGUUAGCUUAUGUAAGUGUCAGCUUCACAUGAGAGUUGGGGUCCAAUCUUAACUUAGCUUCAAGGAAAGGAAAGGAAAAACUUCCAUUUUAUUGCUUGUUGGCUACUGGUUUUUCUCAUAGCGGAUUUUCGCUAUCAUAAAUCGGCCUUUCAUUUUACUAUUCGUUUUCUUUAAAGAGAGACACACAUAUGCGUUAGCGAAACUGUUCAGUAAGUGCCACGCACAAAUAAGUCAGUUCUUUCCAGAUAAUAAAUUGUGCUUUGAACUAUAGGCGCUAACUGAAGCUUGUAUGAUUGUGAAAAUUCUUUUCUAAGUGCUUGUACUAUGAUUUCAUGAUUCCAUAUUUAUUUUAUUUUAUUUUCCUCCAAAAUAGACAAUUUAAGAAUACUUUGAUAACCUUAUUCCUUGUAGUGUUUUGAGCUUUAGCAAUAGCAUAUCGAACAAAUUUAUGAAUGAUUUAUGUUAUAAAUUUAUCAUGAUUUUUCAUAUCUAACACAUGCAAUUAUUAUCCAACAACCGUGUCUCAUUAUUUUGUGUUCUCUCAUGGAACAGUUCCUUCAAACUGGCAGAUGCAUGGAUUUGAUCGGCCUAUUUAUACAAACGUUGUUUAUCCAUUUCCACUUGAUCCACCUUUUGUUCCUGUGGACAACCCUACUGGCUGCUAUAGGACAUACUUUCACAUUCCUAAAGAAUGGAAGGGUAUGAUCCAUUUGAUUGCCUUGCUGAUUGUAGCUGAUUACUAUUUAUUGGUGCUUUUUUAUUCUUUUGUUUUUAUUUUUCUUUGUUGUUCCCUUUUACAUUAUGCUUACUGAUCAGUAUUCUAUCAAACCUGUGCUACUUAUAUCUUGUAUGCAUCGAAGUAAGUUUUAUUUUCCACUUUGUAAUGUAGCCAUUUUGAAAUGUAAUAUAUAGAGCAAUAUGACCUGAAUUUGUGUUAAUGAUUUGAAAUGUGACUAAUAGAAGUAUUGCCUCACAGAUUGGAUUUUCUGCUGUAUGUACAUAUGAAUGCAUGCAUGCACCUAUAUUACAGUCACAGACACACACACACAAAAAUGACAUUUCCAUGACAUCCCUCAACUCUGUUGAUCAUUCUUUCUGUGGGCAAAUUUAUAUGACAUGUUUACCAUUUGACAGGUCGCAGGAUUUUGUUGCAUUUUGAAGCUGUUGAUUCUGCAUUCUGUGCAUGGCUAAAUGGGGUCCCGAUAGGAUAUAGGUAAUAAAUACUUGUAAGAACUUUUGUGAAUUAUCAUAAUUAUCCUGUAGGUGGAUGCUGUUAUGCUAUACCUUAUGUCAUACUUCCAUUCAUGGAGUCUUCUCAGCGUGUGUUACUGUUUUCUGAACAUAUGCAUUUUACAUGGAAUUUAUCUCAGUCAGGUAUAUGUUGACAGAUUAAGAUUGCGCACAUUUGUGAAUAAGAGAUACGGAGAGUGAGUUUAAGAUGCUCAUGGAGGAUCUUCUUUCGCAAUCUACUAUUUUUCACUUUUCUCUUUCGCAACAUACAAAUUAAAAGUUAAAUAUAAAAUGCAAAAAGAGAGAGUAACCCACAUGGAAUAUAAAGAACAUAAAGUCCCCAACUCUUAAAGCUGAGUAUGGAUACUGUUUUGAUGCUGAUAAAUAAUUUAUCAAGUAAAUACAAUAAUGUAUAUUGUGCUGAGAGUCUUUUGCUACCAUAUGGUUUAGCAAGAAAAGGGGCAUUAAAUUGUUAAUAACUUAAAAAUGAAGCAUGGUGAGUAUGACCUGACUCAGUUAUACUAAUUACCAAUCUUUGAACAUAGCUUUCUUUUUUUUUUUCUUUCCCUUUUUUCUGUUAAUGUAUUGUUUAUCAUACCAAGAAUAUGUAUUAGCCUUGAAAGGAACUUUCUUUAAUAAAUGGUCCAGCCACUGAAUGAUCUGACUUAAAUAUUUUGUUUCUUUUUGGUGGUGGGGAAAUUCUUGGGAAGUUUCAAUUUGAAUUAUUUGAUGGUUGUUUAAUCAGUUAGGAAUUCGGAUGUUAGUAGAGUCUUGUUUACUUUUUCACAAGUAGAAAAUGAAUCCUAAGCAUUUGAGAUGGUCAUAUGUGCACUUGUCGGUUUUGUAACCUGUAUCACCAAGUACAUACAACUAUAUCAAAUUGAAGAUUGUUUUCCGCUUAUAAGGGAUGCAUGGUUUGGUAGGAAUCCCCUGGGAGGUACGUUAACAAACUUUUCAAUAUCGUGCUAGGUCAGUCAGGACAGUAGACUUCCUGCUGAAUUUGAAAUCACUGAUUAUUGUUAUCCAUCUGAUAUGGACAAGAAAAAUGUACUAGCUGUUCAAGUAUUCAGAUGGAGUGAUGGCUCCUACCUUGAAGAUCAAGAUCAUUGGUGGUUAUCUGGCAUUCAUCGUGACGUGCUUCUUCUUUCCAAGCCACAGGUCUUUAUUGUCUUCUUUCUUGCCUUUAUAUCCUCUCUUUUAAUUACAAUUGGACUAUAUGCAAUUGGUACUUCUUGGGACUGGGGACAAGCAUGUAUACAUUGAUGAUUUGCAUGGCUACUUUUCUAUCAUAAGAUCACUCCAUCUCUUUGCAAGUCAUUAUUGUUCUUUCUUUCCCAUUUUGAAAAAUCGACACAUUGGAGGCAAAGAAUUAGGACAGUUAAUGCUAUAAUGUGUGUAUGGAAAUAUGACCUAGUUCUUCAAUGUUCUAAGCCAUAUUUUAUUUUGAUUACACAUAUAGAUUAUCUAAAUUAUUUCCUUAUUCUUUAACGUAAACUGGUAACGUGCUGCUACCUGUACUGGAGCAUUGCAUAAUAUUAAAUCCUAAAAAAUAACUGAUGUGCAGGUAUUCAUUGCAGACUACUUUUUCAAAUCAACUCUGGCUGAGGAUUUUUCUUAUGCAGACAUACAGGCAAGUAUUUAUCAAUCGAGGAUGGAUCUUUUUGUUUUUACAAAGUAAUAAGUAUAAACAAUAUUUUGCAGUUUUGUCUAGAUGGUUGACCUCUUGCACAUAACUGGACAAUAAUUUGUAACCCAUUGAAUCAUAUGAUAAACUCCAAAAACAAUAAAGGAUACAGGAAAUGUCUUAUGUGCUUAGGUUAGAGAAAUUCCUGUCUUGUAAUGGUUUUUAUUCGUACUAUCUGAUUAUAUGUGCAUGUGCUCACUUUUUUUCUCCUUUUGAGUAUCGCAGUGUCUGUUAAUGUAGACUGUCAUUGAUUUAUCAGUCAAGAUUUUGGAAUCUACCCUUAUAUCAAUGUGCAAUAUGAUGGGAUUAUGUUAUCUUCUCAGUGCUAUUGCUCUACAUUGAAAACAUUUUAAAAUAUUGUUGUCUUGCACUUUUGACCAGGUUGAAGUGAAAAUAGAUAACUCCAGAGAAACAUCUAAAGAUAGCGUUCUUGCAAACUAUGUUAUAGAAGCUGCAUUAUUUGACACUGCGUGCUGGUACAGCAUUGAUAGAUAUGCUGACCUGCACUUGUCUAAUGUGGCUAGUAUAAAGCUUAAUCUCUCAUCCAGCACAAGUCUCGGGUUUCAUGGUUAUUUGCUGGUAGGGAGACUGGACAUGCCGAGGCUUUGGUCUGCAGAGCAAGUGAGGAAUUAUUAUUUUUUGUUUCUUCCUAGUUUGUUCCUACGCUAAAACCCUUUUAAGCAAUAUAUACUUUCUUGCUUAGUGAUAUUCUCAACUUUGUUGAGUCAUUGGAGUUACCCAAAAUGUCUGUCAAGUGCUCGAAGUACCCUGGCACUGGGAAUAUUUUAGGGUGCUGCACCGUUUAACCUAAUGUGUAUGUUUGUGUGUGCUGCACCGUUUUGUUUAUAUAACUUAGUUUGCUUUUCCCUUCUAGACAUGUGGGAAAAAUUGGUCAACUGUAAAUAUCAUAUCUUGCUAAAUUAUAACAGUCUAAGAGUAAUUAGAUUUUUCUCAUUCAUAUGACUCCAGAGUUUGUGAAAAUUUCUUUUUAACUUAAAUUUAAUUCCUUAAAAGACCAUGGUCGAGUCUUCUUUCUACCUUGAGCUUCAAUGGGGUGAUAUUGUGAAUACUACGUAGGUGACUAGAAACUUUCCCCCUUACCUAAGCAUUAGCUAGCAUUAAGGGUUAGUCAAGUCAUGUUGAAAGUAUGGCUUUGGUACUUUCUUGCUCCAUAUAAGCAUAAAGUAGAUGGAGGGCUCAAACAUAAUAGUAAGAAAAGAAGUUUUGAGAAAAACAAAAAAUAUACAUUAGAUAAUUCAUGAUAUGAAACUAAAAGUUUUGUGGCCCCAAUAACAAGAAGUAUCUAAAACCUUGCAUUGUACAUUUGGUGGUGUUUUUUUUUUUUCUUUUUCCUUCUUAUGGGCAAAGCUAAAGUAUUGUACAUUAUCUUGGGAAAAGAAUAUUAAAGUAUUCAAUCAUAUGGUUUAUUAUCACUAUGUAACACAGUGUUCUCGGUUAUUAAUGAGAUGUUUUUAUCUUCUCAUCUUUCAUAUAAGAUCAAACAGUUUCUUGAUGAAGAUAGAAGGAAAGACAAUAAGUUCUCUGAAGAAUUUCAGGAACAUUUUUUCAGCAGAAAAUUCAAAAUUUUCUAGGAAAAUUCUGCAAAAUUUUCUGCUGUUUGGUGGAUUUAGAGAAGUACUUUCGAGAGAAUAUUUUCUUCAUUUAGCAGCAAACUUUGUGUCUUUUAAUACCAUUUCCUUGAGCAACUUGAAAAUGUAAUGCUUUUGGUGAUUGCUUUACUAAUGUUAAAUUAUAUGAAUCUAGGGUUUAAAUUUAUCUGCUCUCAUUCCACUUCUUUAUUAUGCCUGUUCUUCAAAGGGAAAAUAUGAUGAUUAAAAAGGGAAAGCGCAAUGGUGGGGAAGAGUGGAAGUGGUACAAUUCACUUGUUCGAAAAAAAAAAAAAAAAUUAUGACCAGAUUUUAGAGAUUCAAUAAGAAAUAAAGAUUGCAGGCUAUCUAUUUAAUGUUGUUGACUGAUGAUUCGUUUCCCAGAGUUUAUGUUACAGUAUUUGCUUUUGAACUCUUUUCCUGUGUCCAACAUACAUAUUUCAUAACUGAUUGUUUACUGUGUGCAGCCAAGCCUGUACACUCUUGCUGUUACAUUGAAAGAUGCAUCUGGCAACCUUCUGGACUGUGAAUCAAGCCUGGUAGGCAUACGGCAAGUAUCAAAAGCCCCCAAACAGCUGCUUGUUAAUGGGCAUCCAAUAAUAAUAAGGGGUGUGAACAGGCAUGAGCAUCAUCCACGUCUGGGGAAGACAAACAUAGAAUCCUGCAUGGUUAAGGUAACACAUACUUUACUUCUCCUUGUCUGUUCUCUGCUAGCCAAGUUGAUUUGCAACUGGAGUUGAUGGUUCUUGGAAUUUUAAUCACUAUUUACUGUGUACAGGAUUUGGUUUUAAUGAAGCAAUACAAUAUCAAUGCUGUGAGAAACAGUCAUUAUCCCCAACAUCCUCGUUGGUACGAGCUCUGUGAUUUGUUUGGCAUGUACAUGAUAGAUGAAGCCAAUAUUGAAACCCAUGGUUUUGAUCUUUCUGGGCAUGUGAAGCAUCCUACUUUGGAACCCAGCUGGGCUACUGCAAUGAUGGACCGUGUGAUAGGCAUGGUUGAGAGAGACAAAAAUCAUGCUUGCAUUAUCUCUUGGUCCUUAGGGAAUGAAGCUGGAUAUGGACCUAAUCAUUCUGCUUUAGCUGGUAAACCGCUGUUCUUUUAUCAUAUCCAUAUUUUUGUCCAGCUUUGAAGGAACUUUUAGAAAAUGUUAUUACUUUGUACUUGUUCGAGAAUUAUUGCCUCACCUCGACAUAUUUCUCCUAGAAGAUAUAUUCAUUUUACAGAAGUAGACAAUGGGGAUCAUUUUGUGGCUUUAGUAAGUUACCUUGAAAUGAUGGUGAUGGAUUUGGGUUCAAAAUUUCGAAAAUAAGGAAGUGAUGGUCAGAACUGGCGUUCAUCUGGGAAUGGGCCUUACUUUAGGGAAAGUGAAUAUUUUCGAAAGAAAGAAGCAUGCACUCUAAUUUUGAGUAAUUGAUAUAUAAUUUAUUAUACUAAAGUUGAGUAAGUAAGUUAACAUCACCUUUUUCUAUAAUUUGGGCAAUAUCUAUCUUUGUAUUUUAUUUUUCAUUUUUAAAAAUGUUAGUGUUUCUUAUGAAAAAUAAUUAUUAUUAUUAUGAUCACCCUCAAAAUUUUGAACAGUAUAAUUGAAGUUGCGUGUAAGGCAUCUCUUCCCAACCCCAACCCCCCCCCCCCCCCCCGGUUUCAUAUCACUCAUUGUUUUCAAGACCUUGUUCACCUGAAUUUUAGGCUGGGUUCGUGGAAAGGAUCCCUCACGGCUGGUACAUUACGAAGGAGGUGGAUCCAGAACCUCAUCCACAGAUAUUAUAUGUCCCAUGUAUAUGCGGGUCUGGGACAUGUUGCAGAUUUCGAGAGAUCCAAAUGAAACACGCCCUUUGAUUUUGUGCGAGUAUGUAUAUUUUUUUUACUUUUCCCUUUUUAUUGUUGUUUGAGCAUAGUUUGUUGGUUUACCAUUAUUCCCAAUGUUUGAAGAUGAGUCAAAUGUUAUUUAUAUUCUGGCACUUCUCACCUUUGGGCCCCUCCACCAAUAGAGUCCAACAUGCGAAAUUCAACUUAUAUAGAGAGGUUGCAACCAAUCCAAAAAAAAAAAAAAAAAAAAAGGAGGUUGCAGUUUUUGCUCUACACCUUUAUCAGGAUCUCUUGCUCUAAUACCAUGCAAAAGUUUGUUGCUUUACCACUGCUCCCAAAUUCUUAAGCUAUUAGAAUUUGGGCCAAAUGUAUUCUAACCUGCUAAUUUAUUUUGUAAAGUUAUACAAGAUACCUCUGUUUAUGCUCAUGGCAAUGCAAAUUUCUUCGCUUAAAAGUUUGAGAAAAUAAUGGCAGGUAUUCACAUGCAAUGGGAAACAGCAAUGGGAAUUUACAUGAAUAUUGGGAAGUAAUUGAUAGCACAUUUGGUCUUCAAGGAGGCUUUAUCUGGGAUUGGGUUGAUCAGGUCAAGUAUCCUUGCUGUUCAUAAGAAAUGCACUGAUGAUUUAUCAACAUUACAUUAAAUAUUGAGUUUCAAGCCAUCUUACACUCUUGAAACCCCUUUACUUUAAUUUAUUGGGCAUAACCACAUAACAUCAACAUAAAAUUGAAACUGGUAAAUAUCAUCAUCAUUUUCUUCUUCUUAUCCCCCAACCACCAACCACCAACCACCAACCCCUAACCUCUCUCUCUCUCUCUCUCUCUCUCUCUCUCUCUCUCUCUCUCCACGAAAUCUUUGUUGUUCAGAACCACAAAUUACAUCAGGGGGUAAUAGAUUUUCUCUUUGUAUAUAGGCCCUAUUGAAGGAUAAUGCAGAUGGUAGUAAGCAUUGGGCAUAUGGGGGUGACUUUGGUGAUGUUCCUAAUGAUUUAAACUUCUGUUUGAAUGGCCUUACAUGGCCAGAUCGAACUCCUCAUCCAGCACUGCAUGGUAAGUUGAUGAUUUAUGUUAUACUUACAAGUACCUCUGUCCUUUUAGUUCUUUAAGAUAAUAUUUGUAUGUUAUUUUUUAAUUUAUUUUCAUGUCUCUUUUCUUCGGUUAUUGUUUUCAGAAGUCAAGUAUGUGUACCAACCAAUCAAGGUUUCAUUUAGCAAAGAAACACUAAGGGUAAGUUCACAUAGUAUUUGCUUUCAUUUAAUUUUAUUAUUUUCCGGAAUACUUCUUUACCUGAAAUACACCUUGCAGAUAACAAAUACCCACUUUUAUAAAACAACACAAGGAUUGGAGUUCAGCUGGGAUGUUCAUGGGGAUGGAUGCAAACUUGGAUCCGGAAUUCUACCUUUUCCGUUGAUUGAACCUCAGAAGAGUUAUGAUAUUAAGUGGCGGUCAGCUUUGUGGUAUCCUCUAUGGACUUCAUCAUCUGCAGAGGAAUAUUUUUUAACAAUAACAGCUAAGCUUUUGCGUUCCACACGCUGGGUUGAAGCUGGUCAUGUUAUCUCAUCUACCCAAGUCCAGUUGCCUUCCAAAAGAGAAAUUGUUCCUCACGUAGUUGCUUUUGCUUACUACCCACUUUGACAAUAAGAAUGAAGUUUACAUGUUUUGUCAUAUAAAAACAUUUUUACAAUUGGCCUUGAUUUCCAGGUCAUCAAGACUGAAGAUGCUGUGUUCGUCAGUGAAACUCUUGGGGAUAAAAUUAGAGUCAGCCGACAUAGCUUUUGGGAGAUCAUAUUUAGUGUUCAAACAGGAACAGUUGACAGCUGGACGGUAUUUUACACCAUUGUUAUUUUCAUUUUUUUUGUUGAUAACACAUUUUUCUUUAUAAAACCAAAGUUAUUUUAAGAAUGAUUUCCCUCCAGGUUUUAUGAUUGUAGUUGCCUGGUUAUUGUUCUAUUUUCUGUUGGGAUAAGCAUUGUAUGAUUUUUCUUUUUUGUUCCUAAGGAUGUUCCGUCUCAUGUAGAUUGAGGGUUGCGUAUUUGUUGACCCGAACCUCUUUGAUUGUACUUCUCAAUUUCAUUAAUACUCAUUCUGUUUCCUAUUUAAAAAAAUGGUAGGUCGAAGGAGUUCCUUUGAUGACGAAAGGCAUAUUUCCAUGCUUCUGGCGAGCACCAACAGAUAAUGACAAAGGAGGAGGUGCGAGUAGUUAUUUCUCCUUAUGGAAAGCUGCUCAUAUUGAUAACCUUCAUUAUAUUACCCAAAGCUGUUCUAUACAGAAUAAGACGGACCAUCUUGUGAAAAUAGCUGUGGCUUUUCAUGGUGUUCCAAAGGAGGAGGGUGCUUUAUACAAGGGGAAAAAGAUAAAAAUUGAAGUUGAUGUGAUUUACACAAUUUACGGUUCAGGAGACGUUGUUGUUGAAUGUAAUGUAAGACCAAGUUCGAACCUUCGACUUCUGCCACGUGUGGGAGUUGAGUUCCAUUUGGAUAAGUCAAUGGAUCAGAUUAAGUGGUAUGGAAGAGGACCAUUUGAAUGUUAUCCAGACAGAAAAGCAGCUGCUCAUGUUGCGGUCUAUGAGCAGAAAGUGGAAGACAUGCAUGUCCCUUAUAUAGUUCCUGGGGAAUGUUCAGGUAGGGCAGAUGUUAGAUGGGUGACAUUCCAAAACAAGGAUGGUUUCGGAAUAUAUGCAUCAGUGUAUGGCAGCUCUACGCCUAUGCAAAUAAAUGCAAGUUACUACACCACAGCUGAGCUUGAUCGGGCAACGCAUAAUGAAGAUCUUAUCAAAGGAGAUGACAUUGAGGUAAUUUCUUCUACAUCAUCAAUCCAUAUCUUUCAUUUCAGAACCAGUAGAUUGUUUCUGGACAUCCAUUACGAGUAAUAUACAGAGGAUGGUUUAUGGUUUAGGGUCUAGGGUUUAUGGUUUACUGUGUUACAGGUUCAUCUUGAUCACAAGCACAUGGGCCUGGGUGGGGAUGAUAGUUGGUCGCCCUGCGUCCACGACAAGUAUCUGGUUCAUGCUGUUCCAUACUCAUUUUCAAUUAGGCUGUGCCCGAUAACCCCUGCAACCUCUGGCCAAGCCGUGUACAAAACUCAACUUCAAAACUAGUAGGCAUGAUGGGCUCAAGAACUUGGUAAUGAGUACCGAGUGAUUGACAAUGUAUGUGGCCAUGAAAUAAGAUGUCUAGCUCAUUUGCAACGAAUAAUAUAAGGGCAAAACUUAUCAGUCUGUAAUAUUCUGAUUAUGAAACAUUUGUAUUUAACAGUGCUUUUGUCUGAAGCAUUUUAGUGGUGGAUCAUGCCUACUACAAUCAAUCUAAGCAAUUUAGUAUUUUCCCUCCUAUUUGUCACUUUACUUAACCAAUAUACGCGGCGGGUUCUUAUUUUUGUUGAAUUCUUCCCAUAAUAAGAAUGCGACCGCAUUCCUAUGGACGUGGCAACUUCAUGAGAUUAGCCAUCAUUACAUAUGUGAUUUUGUAACUUUUUCCAUUUAGAAUUAAAGCAAGUUUUGGUAUAAUUUUAGGGAUUCCAAGACUUUGCAUUUAGAGGUUGUGCAUUUUCCCGCAUUUCAUUAAAUCCAAACCAUUCUAAUAAUCAAACAUCUUAACAUGACACCUCAUUAAAUUUGGGAGAACAUUUUUUUUUUCCCCCUCCAAAGCUCACGCGUUGAACUGACCUUUAACGUUAACAUCAGUUUUUUAGCAUUGUCGUUCAGUGUUGAAACCGUGAUCGGUCAGGAGCAAAUACCAUCAACGAAUAAUUGUUGAAUCCAUUCACGAUUAUCCAGAUGCUUGUUUCUUUGGUUUUAGUGAAGCAACUGAUGGUGUCAAGUCAUUGAUUCCAAAACAUUAGGGUGUUAUAGGCCAAGGAAGAGCAGACAAACCUAAUAUAAACAAAACAAGCUUGAUUAUAAAGGACGUUUGUCAAAUUGGUAUAAUGUAAUAUACAUAUAUAUGUGUUUAUGAUUCUAUGAACAAAAUAUAAUGAUAAUCGUAUCUCUGCAUGUAAGAGGGUGCGAACAGUACAAAGUAGGGAAAAUGUUCAGAUAUGCUCGUAUUAGCUCAUAUUUUAUUCUUCUCCAAUAUGGAGGUAUUUAUACAAGUACAAAGAUGUGUUAACCCUAAAUAAAAUAGGAAAUAUAUCUAAUUACUAUAGGAAAUAAAUCUCUAUUACAAUAUGACUAAAUAAUAAUUGGUAAGUAACCAAAAUUCUAACUAAAUAAGGAACCAAAAUUCUAACUAAGUAAGGACUCGCCAACACGAACCACAACCAUUAAAAAUUGAAGGCCCCAUAUAAAAAGGCAGUGAAGCAAACCCAGAGGAGAGAGCACCCAAAACCAUUCAAAAUUGAAGAUCCCAGAUCAGGGCAAUCCUAAAGCACAAAAUUUCAGGGGCCAUGAGAGAAAGAAACAUGCUCAAACUGACGUUAACGUGUGUGAGUUUUGUGGGAAAAAAAAACAAUAACUUCAAGUUUAAUGACGUGCCAUGUUUUAAGACGUUAGAUUAUUAGAAUGGUUUGGUGACAAGACCCAUCCCAAAUUCUCCAUUGGAACCUAUGACGAACCCUGUUGCCUAUCCGGCAUCUAACCAAUGUCGGGUCCACUUACUAAAAUAACUCUUUUCCAUGAACAACAACAACAGAAAAAGAGUCCAAACUUCUAUCAAAAUUUUUGCAAUCUCUCCUGAAAAACGAAUAAAUCCUAAAAUUUUCCACUAGUAAAAACAACACAUUAAAUAUCUCAACUGGCAGCACACACAAUGCUAAAGUACAUAGUUCACAAAAUAGACAUCCGACCUCAAUUUCUACCCUCCAUGGACAAUAUCAGAGCAAUAUAAGAAAUUCUUAACUACACAACCAGAGUAAUUUUCAAAGGAAAUAAACAACAUAAAAGUCCUACGAUUGAAGUUAGAAGCGCGGGAAGAAUGGCUUGGAUUCACGAGUCACGUCAAACUACGGCCUGAGGGGAGUAAAAUAGAAAUUGUGAGUGGACAAAAAUAAAGUUUGAAAAUAGUUAUGAUCAAAUGUACUAACCCCACCGUUUUAUGAAAACAAUGUAAAACCAUGCAAUAAAAUCCAUUAUUAUAGUAUAGUUGAAUUUGAAAUCAUUGUAAUCCCAUAAACCCGAUAUGGCAUAGAAUAUAAUCAUCAAACAGGACCUUUUUCCUUUAGCCAACCCCUUUUUCCUAGACAUAUGCUUGUAAAAACACAAUAUACAAAGAAAGUGCCUUAUAAAUAUAUAAGUAUAAAAAUGUAUGUAUGUAUAUCACUACAUCAGCAACAAGUACCAAGGGAAACAAUCCAACACGAGGACUGUUUUGACUAGAUAUAGGAUAGAAAUGCAUUACCCUAUGACUACAGACGAGCAGUCCAAUCGGGGGACUAUUGCUCCCCAACACACACGGCGAAAUCGCAUCACUUACGCUUGUAGACUGCCUCGCCAAGGGCCUGCAGCACAUCUCUCCAAGGGUGCUCAGGUCCCGACACACCUAUGAAGAGUUAUCACGUGUCGAAUGUAUCCAAGUAUCCAAUAACAUGGGGGGUACAUAUAAUGGUGCAAUCAAUACAUGAUAUUCCAAAAUCAUAGCCCAACACUAUGUACCAAUUCCCAAAAUAUAAAAAAAUAUAUAAAAAAUAUAAAAAAUCCAAUUUCCAAUAAUCAUCUCCGAAAUCCAUAUUCUCAAAUUCACAAUAAUCAAAUCCAUACACAUCCCGAUAAAAUCAUAAUCCAAAACCCAAAAUCCAUUUACUUUAUAACUAACAAUAAGUUCUAGUAAUCCCAUAAGAUACUAUAAACCCAUAGUUAAAACAUAUAUCAAAUUCCAUAAUCCCAAUAAACCAAAGAAGUCAAGUUCUAAAUCAAAUCUCAUUUAUGCAUGCAAAAAUCCAUAUUCAAAAAAUAAUGCUCAUUUAAAACAAUGUCUACUCAUAACAAGUCCAGAGCUGCUCGACCCUGAGAAUGUCUCUCUUGUGGAGUACGUGAAGCUUGAGUACCUAUUUGAAAGAACAAUGAGACUUAAUCAAUAAAAGUAUCCAACCAUAAACUUUAUCUUAAAAUUCUAAUUCCCGGGACUCAAAGUGUGUGUACAACCUUUAAGGAAGUUCCUAAGGGUCCGGCAAGGGCUACUAAAUAUGUCCCGAGGAUUUGGUUUCAAUCGAACAGUCAGAUCUAAACCAAUCGCACAAUCGGUUUGCCUAAUCCUAAAAUUAGUGAUUCGGAGGAUCCGAAACUUCGAUCUCACUCCGUAAGUUCCUACACGAUCCUAAUUGAAAAUGAAACCGAUCAAAUGAUCCGAAUCUAUCGAACCCAGAUAUCGCAUAAUAGGCGCAAUAUCCGUUCGAUAAUUAAACGAUAAUCCGAGCAUACCUCAUGCUCAGGACGAUGUGGUGAGCAUUUAGAACUCAAAAGGCUACCACAAAGUGGCCCAUGAGUUCGAUCUAGACAUUCCUAAAAAUUCACAAUUCUACUUAACUUUGGAACAACUCAACAAUCUACAAAACCUCUAAAAUAUAACCUCUAAAACAAAUUUCCAUAAAUCAAACAUCUUAAAUAUUUACCUCACUCCUUUGAAUUAGUCUGAAAUCCUCAAUUCACCUCCCAAGGAGAACAACCACCAAAACAACAAUUGGCAACAAAGAAGCUUGUUUAAGCUUGUACAACUUUCGAGAUGGCUAAACUUGCUGGAUGACUACGAAUUUUGGAUAUGUUGUAGACUACAUAAUUCUCAACAACUUUCGUCAGGAACUUUCUCAUGUGAGCAAGGGAAAUCGACAUGCAAGAUAGAAUUUGAGCCUACAUUAACAAAGCAGACAAUGAUGAACAUGUUACACUUAGGCACGUCUUAAGAUGGCUAUACUUCUUGGAUAAAGUUUAAAUUUUGGCAUAUUAGAGCCAACAACUUUGAUGAAGGGAAAUAUGCCAUUAGCGCAGAGGAAGGCUACAUGCAAGAGUUCAUAAGUUCACACUAGUGUGGAACCAACAGACAGGAAGUAAGAGAAGACUAGUCUCACCUUGAACAUGAUUUAAGGUAGAUAGGCAUCUCCAAUUUAGAUGACAUUAUAAUGUCAAAAUUAUUUGUUUAGAUUACUAUGCCAAGAUUUGAAUAAUAAUGAAAUGAAAAUCAAAUGAAUUUCAAAUGAUUCAUUGCAUAUAGUCAUUUCAAAUCCAUUCCAAACGACGAAACAAGGCAAAGAAAAAAAAAAGGUGAUUUUAUUGGCACCUCAUUAUUUGCUCUUUGCACCCCGUGCUAUUUUUAAACAUAAAUAAUCUAUUAUACCCUUGUACAUAAUUACCAUUUAGAAUUAAAAAAAUAUUUAAAAUAAAAAUUAAAUUUGCUUACUACUGAGGCCCAAAAAAUCCAUGGUUCGGUCCAAUUAAAUUCUCGGCCCAAUGCGAUACUUUACCAAGAAGAAACCCGAUUUGGGCACGUGAAAGUUUGUCAUAUGCGCUUGUACACAUGUCACGCCAAGCAAAUAAGCAACACGUCAUGCUACAAGCUUAAGUGGGCCCAAGCCACGAAAGAUGCCCGGGGCUUGCUUGAGUAGGUUGUGGUAUGGAUGGUAAUAAGUUGACAUGAGGCCCAUUGAUGAGCCGAGAAAUAGAAGUCCCGGGGUUGCUUGGGAGCCCCGGAACUCAAGCCCAUUUCUUAGGCCCAAAUAUGUGGGUGAGCACAAAGAGAGAAAAAUAGCUCAUUACUUCAACCAAAAUAGUCCAUUAGCUCAACUAAAAUAGCUCAACAAUUGAUGAAGUUAGCCCAUUCACUUGAUAAACCAACUUAUUGUCCUAGAAGGCCCAAGCAACUUAAGAAAAUAUAUGCAAAAUCUCCAGCACCUAGCUAAAAACAAAGGCCACGAUGAAAGCCAAAAUAUCCAUGUGUGUAGGCUGCUGGAAGGCUCCAGCACAUGGGAAAGAACAAUUUCCAAGCACAAAACACUCGAAGAACCAAAGGAUAUUAACGUGCAAGCUGCCAGGAAGAGAAGCACCCUUCAAACCAACAUACAUACCCGAAUUCCUUCCUUCAUCAGACCUGGCCAUGGAAAAAGGAAAGAAAGAAAGGAAGGAGAUGGCUGGGAAUGGAAGUCUCCCACUGGAACAGCUGCGGGGAAGGGGGCCUUGAGCUUCCAAAAUUCCUGAUUUUGUGCAAAUAAACAGAGAAGAUUUUGCUAGAAUAAGAUAAGUCAAAGAAGGGGAGGAGAAAGGAAGGAAAAAACUUGGCCAAAAUGGAUAGAAACCAUUAGGGUUUCUUGGAAAAAGAUGGCUUCCAGCUUCUAUAAAAGGGGCCUCUUCUACCCAAUCAAAAACCAACUCAGACCUAGAGAGCAAGCUUCCUCUCUUACCUACAAAAACCUAGCAAUCUCGUGUACUAUUCACCCUCCUUCUUCAUUUUCUUCUUAUGGCAGACUACUUGCACAUCUGCCAAGCUGCCCGAAGAACAUGGUUCUUUCUUUCUCUCUUCUUAGCCAAAUCAACUUGCAAACCUCUUCUUCCUCACCUUAAACAUUCCCCUUUCUCCCUAGGAAGCCAUAUUUUCCUCUUUGGUGCUAAACUCACGCUGAUUUUGCUUCCAUGUCACAAGCCUCUCAUGCCGAGCUAGAGAAUUUAUCUGUAAGCAUCAAGAAAUUAUCUGUAAGUUGCUGUCGUUCUGGUUGGUGAAGAUAGCCAAGAUGCUUCUUAAGGCAUCUCAAUCCUUUCGAAGCAUUCUUAGGGCUUGAUCUUCGAACUCAGGCUCAAGGGGCAAUUUCAUCUAUCUGUCCUUUAUCGCAGCCCAGCCCGUUUGUAGCUGUCGGAAGAAAAAAGCCCAUACACUUACUACACCCCACAUAUGUUUUUGCAACCUUAGUUAGACUUUUUUUUUUUAUCUUGUAUUUAUUCAUGAAUGGUAAGAUUGAAGUUAGACAGGCUUUAAAUGAGGUAUGAGUUUAUUUUUUGGCAUUUUUCAAGUUUAGGAUUUCAUGAUGGUUGUUGGUUGCAUUUAGCACAUCAGUACCGAACGCGAUAGGUGAAUUUGGUGGGAUGCCACCGAAACAUUGCACCUAUUUCGGUUAUGUUUGAUCGUAGGACAUUUAUGUUGUUUAUUUCCUUUGAAAAUUACUUUGGUUGUGUAAUUAAGAAUUUCUUAUAUUGCUCUGAUAUUGUCCAUGGAGGGUAGAAUUUGAGGUCAGAUGCCUAUUUUGUGAACUGUGUGCUUUAGCAUUGUAUGUGCUGCCAGUUGAGAUAUUUAAUGUAUUGUUUUUACUAGUGGAAAAUUUUAGGAUUUAUUAGUUUUUCAGGAGAGAUUGCAGAAAUUUUGGUAGAAGUCUGGACUCUUUUUCUGUUGUUGUUGUUCAUGGAAGAGAGUUAUUUUAGUUAGUAGGCCCGAUAUUGGUUAGAUGCCGGACAGGCAACAGGGUUCGUCACAGGUUCCAAUGGAGAAUUCAGAAUGGGUCUUGUCACCAAACCAUUCUAAUAAUCUAACGUCUUAAAACACGGCACGUCAUUAAACUUGGAGUUAUUGUUUUUUUUUUCUUCCCAAAACUCACUCGUUAACGUCAGUCUGAGCAUGUUUCUUUCUCCCUUGGCCCCUGAAAUUUUGUGCUUCAGGAUUGCCCUGAUCUGGAAUCUUCAAUUUUGAAUGGUUUUGGGUGCUCUCUCCUCUGGGUUUGCUUCACUGCCUUGCUAUAUGGGGCCUUCAAUUUUUAAUGGUUGUGGUUCGCACCCUCUUAUAUGCAAAGAUACGAUUAUCAUUAUAUUUUGUUCAUAGAAUCAUAACUAUGUGUAUAUUACAUUAUACCAAUUUGACAAACGUCCUUUAUAAUCAAGCUUGUUUUGAUUAUAUUAGGUUUGUCUGCUCUACCAUAGCCUAUAACAAGCUAAUGUUUUGGAAUCAAUGACUUGACACCAUCAGUGGCUUCACUAAAACCAAAGAAACAAGCAUCAGGAUAAUUGUGAAUGGAUUCAACAAUUAUUCGUUGAUGGUAUUUGCUCCUGAUCGAUCACGAUUUCAACACUGAAGGACAACGCUCAGAAACUGAUGUUAACGUUAAAGGUCAGUUUAACGCGUGAGCUUCGGAGGAAAAAAAAAAAAAAAAAACCUCCCCUAAAAUUAUACCAAAACUUGCUUCAAUUCUAAAUGGAAAAAGGUACAAAAUCACAUAUGUAAUGCAGACCAAGUGUUCGACGAAAUGUCCAGCAGAGGAAGAAGAAGGAGCUUACGCAGGCAGCCUGCCUUGCGCGCGCGCGCCGUUUUGGUCCAAGCGUGUUAGAUUUUUUAAAAAAAAACCUGCCUUCAAAACGACGUCGUUUUGAGCCAGGUUUUUUAAAAAAACGAAAAAACCCCAUCAGUAGCCUUAUCUACCCGAUUCUAAUCCCGACCCCAGCAGCAGCAAUUCAUCCCAAAAACCUCAUUUUUUGUUUUCGAAUUUCCCUCUCCUCUAAAAACCUAACUAGUUCCCAAUCUCCACCACCAACCACUACACGCCGCCGCCGCCGCUGCCAUUGCUUCUCAUCAAAUUAAGUGAGUUCUAAAUUCUAAUUUUACAUAUAUUAUUUUGGGCUUUGGAUAAUUUUAAGGAAAUUGAUAUGACUUUCAUGAAUUAUAAUUUAUUGGUAUGGUAUGUUAUGAUAUUGAUUGAUUUUCUUAUUUGGAUUAGAAUUUAUAUUAAUUCAUUGAUUUUCUGCGUCCGCCACUGAUUGAGAAAGCUCGUUUGUGGAUGUAGAUAACCAGUUGAAUAUAAUUCGGCCAAGUCUUGGUGGUGUUUUUGAGCAUGGCUUUGUCGGUAUCCAGAAGGCUUUUACGCUCAUUUGGCUCCGUCUUAGCAUCGGGCCGCUGUGACUCUCCAAGUAGUUUAUAUCCAUCACUUCAUGCUUCUCUUGGUGAGGACGUGCAUACUUUUGUUGUAAGCUUUUUGUUAUUGACUUGUAUGAUCGGAACAUUUUGUGGUAUUGCAAAAUAUUAAUUUUUUUCUACCUUUAUUUUGGUCCUUGAACCGAUUUGUGCGGCCUUGUUCCAGGGGUUGUCUCUUCGGAAGAAUUCUCAGCUGUUUCCAAGGUAUUAUUGCAUCAUAUCUACUAUCAAAUGAACCAGUGCAGCAUGUUCAUGUACAUGGUGAUUUAUUGGAUGCUUAGCUUUCUGUGGAAACAUAGUAAUGAACUCAUAUUAUAUUGUAUCUCAAUGUAGGCUGGAUCGUCUUUUCUAGCCAAUCGAAGGCUUUCAACUUCUAUCCCAUCUCCUGAAUCAAGUGGAGGAGCGUUUCCCUCUAAUUUAUUGUCUGCAAAGCCUGUGGUUGCUUCAGAGAGUAAUAUAGGUACGAGGAAAGGUCAAAACCAUAUAUAUCUUAUAAUAUUGAUGAAAAAAAAAAACAAAACAAAACAUCUAUCAAAUGAGCAUAACAUUAUAUAGCUUAAAACCAUAACCAUAUGAUCUUAUACAAUAAGAUACAAUGGGUAACAUUCAUUUAUGGAUGAAACUCAUUCGUUAAGACUUAAAACCCAUUGAAAAUAGUAAGUCAAAACACAGGCCAGGCAAGUGUAGGUAUGCAGCAAUUGUUAGUUUGUGGUAAAGCUUAUUUAUUACUUUACUGGGUUUACAUUAUAAACCAGUUGUCGGGAUGUUUUAUUAAUGUUAUCUAUAAAAAAUAAAUGUGUAGGACUGUUUUAAUGAUUUUGUGUGUUGUGAUAUAGGACUCUAUCAAGACCUUGUAAUUCCAGUGACAAAUUUUCAUAAUGAAGAUAAAGGCUUCACAGUUUUGGCUGGUGAUGUUUUUGACGUACCUAUUAGGAAGGAUAUCAUUCAUCGGGUUGUACUGUGGCAGCUCGCAAAACGGCAACAGGUAUUGACUUAUCUAUAAAUUGAAGCAUUAACACUAAAUGAUGGCUUAGCAAUAUUGCAUUCUGUUCCUGAACAUUUAUAAAAAAGAGAAAGGCUGCUAUGCCACUUGGAAGUUGGAAGUACAGAGUCUUUCAUUUAGUGUGAUUUUUUGUUUUGGUUGGGGAAUGUGGGGGAGCAUUUGCUGAAAAAGCUUCUGGAUUGCAUACAUAGUAAAUUGGAAAAAAAAAAAGAAAAAAGAAAAAGGAAGGGGAUAAGUAUAUGGGUUAUUGCAUAAGAGGAACUAAAUUGACCAAUAACUUUUGUAUAUUUUACUUUCACAUGUCAUUUGUUUUGAAAUUCUUGUCAUCCAUGUUUAGAAUUUUCAUACUUUUGGUGGUCUAAUGACCACUGAAAUAAUAUUGGUGAGACUCUAUGCACAAGUGAAUUUGGGAAAGAAGAUAAAAAAUGCUUACGCUUGUUGAGUGGUCUACAGGGAACACAUUCAACAAAAACUAUUAGUGAGGUUAGUGGGACUGGGAGAAAACCAUGGAAUCAGAAGGGUACUGGUCGAGCGAGGCAGGGAUCAUUGCGUAGUCCCCAGGUACUGAUUUAUCAUGUUUUGAAAUCAGUAUGUUUCUAGAUUUUCAAUCGAAGUCUGCCUUUAAGAUGCUUUUGCAUAAUGAAUAUAAUGGGUGUUAACAGUUCAGAGGAGGUUCCACAAUGCAUGGUCCUAAGCCACGAAGCCAUGCUUUUAAGCUAAAUAAGAAGGUCCGGCGUCUAGGGCUAAAGAUUGCUCUGACAGCUAGAGCAGCAGAGGGAAAGGCAACUCUCUCUCUCUCUCUCUCUCCCUCUCUGCUAUGUUUGGAUUUAGUUAUAAAAUGGGUUGAGUUAUUUUAAUUAAAUAUUUAAACUUUUAUGUUUUGUAUGGAACUUAACUAGAGAAGCUGUAUGAAACUACAGCUUCUAAUUUUUGAUGAUUUUGAGGUCCCCACACAUAAAACCAAGAAUAUAGCGAACUACGUCCAGCAAAUGGAGGACUCCAAGAAACUUCUGCUGGUGGAUGGUAUCUUACCUGAAAAGCUCAAGUUGGCUACACAAAAUUUACAUUAUGUGAACGUGCUGCCCGCAGUAGUGAGUUGCUCUUUGUGACCCUUAAUAAGUGUUUGUAUUAUAGCUAGCAAACUAUAUGCAGCUGAGAUGCCAUUCCACAUGGACACAUUGUUCCAAAUCCAGUGAGCUUCUUUAUCCAUCAGCAAUGGCUUAGAGUAGAAAUUAUUGACAAAAGCUUUUACAUUGUCGAGCAUGUUUGAUUCACAAGAACUAAAACCUCUCUCUUUCUAUCUCCUGAUAUUCGUGAUACUGUUGCUCAGCUUUCGCUGUGGUCACCAUAUAUAAGAACUAUGACAACCAAAAUAACGAUUUCAAUUUUUGUAGAUACAUGAACCAGCUGCCGUGUAAGUUCUGUUUGAAAUCAGUACUUAUCUGUAUUUCACACGUUUUGCAGGGUUUGAACGUCUACAGCAUCCUGCAGCAUGAUACACUAGUGAUGUCCCGUACUGCUGUAAAUGAAAUUGUUGAGCGGAUGCACACUCCAAUUAAACGUUGAAGUAAAAGAAGGCCUUUGUUUUAACUCGGGAUCGAUAGGAACCAGCUUUUGCUUUUGAUGGAGCUAAAAGAAGGCCAAAGCUUUUAGCCAAAAAAUAAUGUGUGUUGUUUUUGUUACGAUAUGCAAAUUCCAGUGUUGAUAGCUUGAAUUUUAUUUUGUUAAAAAUUGUGGUUGAAUAUCAGUGAGAUUUCGUAGCUUUUAAAUUGCUCUACACCUGUAUUGUCAUUAAGCUAAGUUACUUUAAGGGGUCGUCAAUUUUUUUUUUUGGUAAUGAUUUAACAAUUUUCUAUAAUGCAUCAGAUAUGAAUCGUUGUUUCUUUUUCUCUCCUGUUAUACCCGAUCUCUCUCCAUGAAAUAUUUGAUUUCUUCCAGUAAUUAAGUGGGAUACCUUGAAUUCAUUUACCUUCAAAACAAAAUUAUUUCAUUUAAGUGUGUCCGCCUAGUACCGUCUACCAUGUCUCAUUACAAGAUGAAGCAAAAUUUUGGCAAGCCACAAAAUUGCAUGAACGAGAUUGGUGUUGCAAAGAUACAAAUGCAAAACAAUGGAGCAAUUCUUUAGCUUUCUGUCAAACUCUCCUUCCAUGCUCUUGUAAAAUUCAGUUCGAUUCACAUCGUUAAUCACCUCCAACAAAUCACUUUCAAUGAUCACCUAUCUACUUCAAAUUUAGCAUACAUGCAUAAAUUGUAGUAGACUAAAUCUUACAAUUUACUUAUAUAAUGUCAUCCAUGUUAUAAAAAUAAAAUAAUCACAGUAUGAAAAGUACUACUGAAUAUUGGAAGUAUAACUCAGAUAGAAUUCACUCUCUUUUGUUUCCUCUCACUUUUCCUUUCUUCUCUUCCUUUCUUUCCUCUCUUCUCUUUGGUGUGUUUUGCUAAGCAAUGGGGGAUGGCUUCCAACAUCAUCAUUAAGCUCCAACAUCAUCAUUAAGCUUUUUGAAUAUUAUUUCCUUCUUUUCUUUAUGUGGGCUCCAUCAUUUUCUUUACAACAAUCCAAAAUUUAAGAUGGUAUUAUGAGCAUGAAAUAUCUAACUCCAACCAUGAAGGUACCGUGACAGUUAGCACUCUAUCUCCCUCUUUCUUUUUCUUUUUUCUAUAGCAAAAGGAGGGCCUAGGGUUUAUGGUACGGGUUGAGUACACUGGUUUACGCCAUUGAAGUUGCUUCAAAGUUGCUACAUUUCUUUAACACCAAGGCAAGGCUUCCUUGAAAAUGACCCUCAUGGCCAAAACUAGACCGGAGAGAAAGGACGUGGAUUCUUACACGAUCAGAGGCAACAACAAAGUCGUCAGAGGUAAAGAAAACGAGAAGGAAAACAAUAUUUUUGAUUUUUUUUUGAUUUUUUUAUUUUGCGGGAAGGGAAAUGUGUUGAAGAAAUGGUGGUUUUGCAGUGGGGGAUUGGGUGCUGAUGGGCCCAUCGGUCACCGGUAAGCCCCCAUGCUUGGCAUGCAUCAAGAAGAUUGAAGCCUAGGACGACUGGAGCAAUGUGAAAGUGAGAGUGAGGUCGUACUAUAGGCCAGAGGAGUCGAUCGGAGGGCGUAGAAAGUUUUAUGGAGCCAAAGAGCUCCUUGUCUGACCUCUAUGAUGAUCGGAGAGCGCUGACACCAUUGAAGGCAAGUGUAGGGUCCACUCUCUUAAGAACUACGCAAAGCUGGAGAAUGUGGGAGCUGAAAAUUACUACUGUAGAUUUGAGUACAAAGUUGAUGCUGGAGAGCUUGCACCAGACAUAGUUGCUGUGUGAGUGUCAUUUGCUUUCUGGUUGCUUUGGUUUUUUUUUUUUUUUUUGGAAGACCUCUCUUAUUGAAAUGAGCGAUAAUAUAUUAAACUCGCACACAUUGUGGACUAGACUUUUCUUGAGGGAGGAAUUGACACUACACUGGUGGGUCCUUGCUGUUGCUUUGAUUUUUAAUUAGUGGAAAUGUGGUGUUUAUGUGGAUAGAAUAUGAUGGGUUUGUUUUUGUCUGUCUGUUUUGAAGGCAUUGCAAGUGUGAGAUGCCGUAUAAUCCGGAUGAACUCAUGUGAAGUGCGAAGGGUGCAGGGAACGGUAAUCUUUUUGCUUCUUUACUUUCUUUCUCAAUGUGUUGCACAUUUUUUGAGAUUCGAGUUUUUGAAUGUGUUGUGUUACUUGAAAAUUGUUCGCAAAAGAAACAUCAACUAGGUUAUCUAUCUGUAAUAAUGGCUCUAACAAUUGCAGUCAUGAUCUUGAGAGCACUUGUUUAGCAGGCAUAUGCAAACAACAUAAGCACUCAUUUGUGUGUAUGUUCAAUUUAAACAGGGAAAUGCUUGGAGAGCUUGUUGAUAAUUUAGGUCCUGUAGAUACUCGAGCAACAUCUCCUAUUCAUAGAUCUGUGCCUGCCUUUAUACAGUUAGAAAAAAAAAAUUUCAAGGGAAUUAUCUGGUGGCUACUGAAUCUUGUUUGGAAGAAAUUUGGGUCCUUUUUGCAACAUAAUUUGGCUCUACCUUAUGUAAAUCUUAAAUACCCUAAUAGAUACAUGAUUUUAUUUUACCAUUGACGACGCAUACGUAUAGGUAUCAUCUGCUUGCAUUGGCAUGACCAUUGUAGAAGCAAAAAAAUUGGAAAGCUUUGUUUUGUUCAGAAUGUUCGUCUAAAGAGGAUGUGAUUAAGGCCCCAGAGCCAGAAUGCAUUUUCAGCAUCACCAGAAGCUGAUGCAAAGGUGCGGCUUAUCAUGAUGGAGUUUUGGUUAUUUUAUGUUAUUCUGAGCUCUUUUCUAAUUUCAGUCUCUUUCCAGGAGUCUCUGGCUAGUUUUUCGACUGUGGAGGCCAUGGUCCAGCCUGUUGUCCCAGAAAACUCUUCAGUCCCAGACUUUAGCAAAUUGGAUUUAGAUUCGCUCUGAUCCACAGGAACGAGGAAGUUAGAGGUCCUCCUCCAACUGCAGCUGCCGAAUAAGCCAUGUUUCAAGUGAAAAAAUGGAGAGACGAAGGGUUUUCUGUUGAACAAGGCUAUUAAUCCGUCAAUCAGCUGAUGGAAGAUUUGUGUUUGCUUGCCAAAGAACAGGUGCUGCCUCUACCAUUUCUGGAAGCUAGUGUAACUUUUACAGAGGACUUCCAGGAUCUGGCUGGACAAUGGGCAGCCAUUGAGAAGAACUACAAGGAGGCCGAAGUUUACAAGAACACUUUCAGCACUAGUGUUCGAGACCUGGAGCAAGAGAGGAAAGCUUGUAGUCUCAAGUAUCAACAGCUCCAGCAAGUGAAGACUGAAAUUGUAGCUCGGCUUCAAAAACAGUUGGCUAGCUAGCAAAGAACAAGAACACAAUCAACUCCAUGCUUUUCUGAACUCCGUUGGAUUCCGCCUGGACUCUGCAGAGCCAGAUUGCUAAAGCUAAGCCUGCCUGAUGCCGAAGCUACUCUUUUCAAGGCAGAUGUGUACUCAGAGCUCUCUCAUUUCAAAACAGUUUUUAUCUAGCCUUGAACAUUACUAUAUGCUUGAAUUGUAAAAUUUGAAACAUUUUCAAAAGUGGAACAGAUUUCACUGAACUGCAGCAACUUGGUAUUUUGUAAUUUGAUCAAUGUUGAUGCGAAAAAAUGGUUUACCACUUAUUUCGUCAACUUAGUCAAAUUAUCCCUUCGGUAGGUGACUGUCCUCGGUAAGUGAUCUACUCCAGAGAGGUGAGUACCUACAAAGGACACGUUCGGUAAAUCCUUGGGGUACCGGUGCGGUACCGGCCGAAGGCUCUCCGAUGCUCAAGUAAGUACGGAUUUAGUAAAGUUUAACUGACAGAUCACACGAUAGCGUACCGUUAGUUCUGAUCCCUUCCUUUUGGGGAUAUGGGUCUCCUUAUAUAGGCCUUGGGAGGUGUGCACUGUGCUCAUAUUUCCGAUGUGGGACUCUGGACAUGAAUUGUGAGCAUGGCACGUGUCUGAUGGUGAAAGGGGCCAAGAUAGAUGGCUUUGGUAGGGAGCAUGCCGAAGGGGUCCGUUGAUCAGAAUCGAUCCUAUCCACGUGUUCGAUGGUAAUAGGCCGUUUAUUUCGGUAUAAACAGUAGUCCCCCAAGUUCUCUUCCGAAGGUCCUUCGGAAGGGAAUUUAGUUCUCUAUGGCAGCUUGGAGGUUAUCCUGCCGUUCAGUAUGCUCGUUUGGGGGGAGGGAAGACGCUUGCGUCGAUCCUUUCGGAAAAUAUCGUUCGGGAGAAAUUGACCUGGGACACGAGGGGUCGUCGAUGUUGAGAGGCAAGUGGGCAGAGAGACGCUUCGUCUUCUGUGCCUGGCGCGCAGUUAAUGACGCCAUCCGUCGGGUGACGCGUGGCCAGCAAAAGCACGUCUGGCGGCGCAUUGAUGAGCCAUUUCGUCUUUCGAGGCGUACCGUUACAGCUCUCUCCCUAUAAAUAGAGGUUGCUCCGGAUGAAAGGUUCACUUUGCAAUUGUGAGUUUGCGCGAGAGCUCUUGAGUAGGCGAUUUUCGAAGUGUGCGAACGGUAAUCCAGGCGAUUUUCGAAGUGUUUCUCGGCAUACGAGGCGAUUUCCGGAGGGAGUGAACGGCAAUCCAGGCGACUUUCACAGCACUCAAGGUAAGAUACCGUUCGGCACCUCCUGAAUUUUUAUUAUACGUCUGUCCAUGGCAUAGGCUAGCCGAUCGUUAAGUAGGAUCUUCCUUCGGUAGUCUAGUGGCCAUAGGUAGAGAUAUAGGUAUCGGUAGGAUAGUGCGGCACGAACCUUAGUUUCCCUUUUCUUUGUUUUGUAGAUGUCCGAUAGCGAAUCGCCGUUCGGCAAUGAGCCCAACGCGUUCGAUGGGGAGUUGUCAUCGGGAUGGGAUACGUCCAGCGGGGCUGCGAGCCUCGCCGCCAAGGAUGGAGAUGACACCGAUGCUGAAUUAUUCGGUGAGGAGGUGGACUUCGUUCCCACCCAUGGCAUUGGUAAGGGGCUCAUGAUGGGGCACUCUUGGCCGCGGUGUACAAGGACGGUACCCGUGUCGGGCCGUUCGAGCACCAACCCGAGGCCUCCACCUCUGGUCGAAGCGUGGACAUUGCUGGUCCCUCCCGCCCGAGGGUAAUCAUUGUCCACCGAGGGCCGCCUAGGAUACCGGUGGGUGUGCCUCAGAAGGCUCUGUUCGGGGUCGAUUACCUGGAGCCCAAUAAGAUCACCGAACGGGAGUUGGAGAAGAUCAGGGCCGAAUACCUCAUCCCUGAUUCGGUAAGGAUGAAGAUUCCGAGCCCGGUUGAGUCCCUCAGUGACCCGGUGAACGGCGAGGUGACCUUCUUCACCGACGUCCUUGUGCAAGGGGUUCGGUUGCCGUUGCAACCUGCCGUGCAGAGGAUCCUUGCGCAGAUCAAGUACGCUCCGGGCCAAUACAACCCUAACUUCUGGGUGGCCCUGAUGGGGGUGAUCGCGGCAUUCGGGAUUGCCGAGGAAGGGGAGCCUUCCUACGAGCAGUUCUCGUAUCUGUACAGCGUCACCAAGUCCAAGAGCGCCGAUCACGGCUGCUGGGUUCAGGCAAACUGCCUGAAGGCUGCCGAGCGGGGGCAUUUCGUUAGUUCGGUGCCGACUUCCCAGAAGUCAUGGAGGAAUCGGCGGGUGUUGCUCUCCGGCGAUUGGGAAUCGCCAUCGGGAACACCCCCUAGCUUUCGAGUCCCCACGACUUUCCAGAUUGCCGGUAGGUUUUCGAAUUACCGAUCGGUAGGCUGGCCUUUUUUUUUUCUUGGUGUAUUUUAUUAAUUUUUCUCCGUUUGACAGGCAAACUCAAGCAGCCGAGCCCCAAGCCGAGCGAGAUCCGGCAGCUUGACAGAGUGAGGUUGCGAGCACCCGCUGCCGAGCGAGUUUAUCCGCGCUUCCUCUUCACCGACAACCUCAUCAGAGCCGGCCUCGUCGACCCUGCCGACAGUAUGUAGACCUUUCUUCCCUUUUUUUUUUUUUGUAUAUUGUCUUUGCUUGCCGAACUGACUAAGCGCCUUUUUGACCAGUGACGGACGCCAGGAAAGCUGCCGAGGCCAAAAAGAUGAACGAGUCCUCCAGGAGGCGCCUGAUGAUGGGCCUGGAGGGCAAAAAGAAAAGAAAGCGGCCCGAGGCGGCUUCCGUUCGGCAGCCGGUGCCGGAUCUGGAGGACCAGACCCUCGCGGAUCACCUUCGGCAGCUUGAUGCCGAUGCCGUUCCGAGGCGCACCGCCGAUGAAGCCGCUGCGCCGAGGCAUCGGGACGCCGAGGCUGCCACCUCCAAGGCUGCCGGCAAGCGUCCGGAGACGGUCGAUCUGGAGGCGAGCCGGUCCCCAAGCGCCCUCGCCAACCGGAGGUUCCCAGGGCCGUCCUUGCGGUGGAGGACGAGGACGGUCCUUCCGAGGCCGUCUCCAUCGCCUGCCCGGCGAAAACCGUCCAGUUCGUCAACCACAUGAUCCUCGGCUCUCAGAUGGAGCUGCCGGAGGUCGACGAACUGCCGAAGAAGUUUCUUCGGGAGGAGGCUGGACGCGCCUUCCGGCUUCAGGCCACGGUAAGAUUUUUCCUCUUCCUUCGUCAUUUUUGCCUACUGCGUUUUGUGCUUCUGACCUUCUGUGUUUUGUGUAGGCAUCCAUGGAUAUGUGGCUCUGCGUUAAGCGCGCCAUCACUGCGGCCGAGCGUGCCAAGAAGGCGUACGAGGAUGGCAGGUCCAAGGUUGCCGAGGCUGGCAAAGCGCUCCAGGAGCACGCCCACCUGGUCAAGGAGAAAGACUCUGCCGAACGGCAGGUGAAGGAGAUGAAGGGGCUCCUGGAGGCUGCGCUGGAGGCAACGAAGGAUGUCGAGGCUUCCAAAGACGCGGUGCAGGCGGCCUUGGAGGAGUCGGAGCGGGCCAAGGCCGCGGAGAUCGAGGCUGCGGUUCAGUCAGCUAUCCAGGGGUACCGUUCGUCUUCCGAGUUUUCUAUCCUUCUGGAUAAGGAAGUGGGCUCGGAGAUGGCAUACCUGUUGUACCGAUUCAAGCGGUACAAUCCUGGGCAGAAGUUGAACUUGAACUUCAUUGCCGACCGUCCUCCUCUACCAGAAGGGAUUACCGAGAAGGAUUACGAGGGGGAGGACGCCGCCGAAGGCUCUGGAUCCGCCGAGGCUGCUGCUGGUGACGAAGCCUGAAGGCCUCCUUUGAUUUGCUUGUAAUAGUUUUAGUUUUUUUUUAUUUGUAUGCACCGAACACCUUGAUGCCGAGGGCAUCUAUAAUUUAAAUGCAUAUUUUUCUCUACUUCUGUUUGUUCGAUCUGAUUUUGUUCAAUUGCCGAUUGUUCUUAUUGCCGUAUAGGAUUUAUGACGUUAUAAAGGUCACUUCGAAAUUGUCAAGUUCCGACGGAAUCUGUAGGGUAACAAUUUUGAAAAUAUUUAUUGCCGUAGGCUAAUAAAGAUGUCGUAGAACGUUAUCUUGCCUAUAUUGGCAGCCGUGGGCUAGUAGAGAUUUUAACAAGAGUUUCUGAAGUAAUAGUGCCGAAGGCUUUCUAUUAAUUUCUGCCGAAAGGCGUUUACAAUUUCGUCCUACCGUAGGCUAGGUUAUAAAUUUGUCCUGCCGUAGGCUAGGUUACUUGAAAUAGUACUUGAGAUGUUCUACGUUCCAAGGAUGAUCGAGGGUCUUGCCGUUGGAAUCUCUUAGGCAGUAGGUUCCCGAUCGAAGGAUACCGAUGAUCUCAUAAGGUCCUUCCCAGGAAGGUCCGAGGGUUCCUUCCGUGGCAUCCUUAGUUGCUAGGGACACCUUCCUCAUGACCCAAUCACCGAUUCGGAAUGAGCGGUGUCUGACUCUAGAGUCGUAAUACCGAGAGACACGUUGCUUGUAGGCCUCGUUCCGAAGGUUGGCAUGUGCCCGGUGCUCUUCAAGAAGGUCGAGGCUUAGAGAAAGCGCUUCUUCAUUUGGCUUCGGUGCGAAGGUUUCCGUUCGGUAGGAAGGUUCGCCAAUUUCUACCGGCACAACGGCUUCCGAACCGAAAGCCAAAGAGAAAGGGGUCUCUCCUGUGGACGUUCGGUAGGAGGAAUGGCCCAUAGCGCUUCGGGAAGCUUUUCUGGCCAGGCUCCUUUGGCUUUGUCCAGCUGCCGUUUCAGCAGUUUCUUGAUGAUUUUGUUUAUUGCUUCUAUUUGACCGUUUGACUGGGGAUGGGCCGGUGAUGCGAAAAACAAGUUAAUUUUCAGGCGGGUGCAAAAUUGCCUGAAGAGCUCCGAAUCGAACUGCCUGCCGUUGUCGGUAAUGAUUGCAUACGGGAUACCGAAACGGCAACAAAUGUGAGUCCAGACGAAGUCUUCUACCCUUGUUGCCGUUAUGGUUGCAAGAGGUUCGGCUUUCACCCAUUUGGUGAAGUAGUCAACGGCAACCACAACGUAUUUCACCUGGCCUUUACCUUGCGGCAUAGGACCGAUCAGGUCUAGUCUCCAUUGUGCGAAAGGCCAAGGACUCACGAUUGGUGUCAGGGGUUCGGCGGGGAUAUGCUGUAUGUUGCCGAAGCGCUGGUAUUUAUCACAUUUCUUCACAAGCGAACUGGCGUCCUGGUGCAUGGUCGGCCAGAAGUAUCCCUGCCGAAAAGCUUUGUGCGCGAGUGACCGGGACCCGGAAUGGUCGCCGCAAACACCAUUGUGGAUCUCCCGGAGGACGUAGCCCCCCUGUUCUGCCGUAAGGCACUUGAGAUACGGAGUCGUGUAGCCACGUUUGUAAAGGAUGUCGUUGAUGACGGUGUACCUUGCCGAUCGGUACCUAAGCUUUCGGGCCUGGGCCUUGUCCUCUGGAAGAGUGCCGUUGGCCAGGUAUGAGUAGAUAGGGGACAUCCAUGUGUCUUCGUACCGUACGGUACAUAUUUCGGAGGCUACCGUGCUCGGUUGGGCAAGAAUUUCCACCGGCACUUUUCUUCCGACCUUAUCAUUGAUUGCCGAAGCUAGCCAUGCCAAUGCAUCGGCAUGGCUGUUUUCGUUUCUGGGGAUCUGCUUGAUCUCGUAGGCUCGGAAGCUCUGGAGCAGCUGGUGGGUAGACGAAAGGUAGGCGUUCAUGGAGGCGUCUCUGGCCACGAAGUCUGCCGUUACCUGGUUCACAAUGAGCUGGGAGUCGCUAUGAAUCCUGAUCUGUUUUGCAUUCAUGCUCUUGGCUAACCGAAGGCCGGCCAAGAGAGCCUCAUAUUCUGCUUCAUUGUUGGAGGUUCGGAAGUUGAAUCGGAGGGCGUACUCGAUCUUGAGUCCCUCCGGUGUUGUCAGUACCAAACCUGCUCCGCACCCUUGUUGGUUUGCCGAGCCGUCGACGUGCAGAAUCCAUACGGGAUUCUAGGCGUCGAACCGUUCGGCGUCUACCUCCAUCGGCGUUCUGGUUUCGGUGACUGGCUCGGGUAUCUCCUGUGCCGUUGAUGGGGUGAGCUCAGAGAUGAAAUCGGCAAUGGCUUGACCCUUUUCGGCGGGCCUUGGCAUGAAUUGUAUAUCGAAUUCUCCGAGUUCAAUCGCCCACUUUAUCAAUCGGCCAGAAGUCUCUGGUUUUUGGAGCACUUGCCGAAGCGGUUCGUUAGUCAGGACUUUGAUUCCGUGCGCUUGAAAGUAUGGCCGAAGUCUUCGUGCCGAGACCACCAGAGCUAGUGCGAGCUGCUCUAAUGAGGGAUACCGAAGUUCGGCACUCUGGAGUGCCUUACUGACGUAGAAGAUCGGUAGCUCUGCCUUCUAUGGCUUUCGAAUCAAUACCGAACUGACGGCAGUGCUAGAUACCGAAAGGUAUAGAUAGAGAAUCUCCCCAUGUAGUGGUUUUGACAGAAGAGGUGCUUUGCCCAUGUAGUCUUUUAAGUCUUAGAACGCUUUAUCACAUUCGGUAGUCCAUAUGAUAUUCCGUUUGCCCCCUUUCAAGGCUUUAAAGAACGGUACACAUUUGUCGGUUGCCUUUGAUAUGAAGCGAGUUAAGGCAGCCACUCGUCCGGUAAGGCUUUGAAUGUCCUUUGUCGUCUUUGGCCUCUCCAUGUCGAUGAUGGCCUUUAUUUUUCGGGAUUCGCUUCGAUACCCCUGUGACUAAUCAUGAAUCCGAGGAAUUUCCCGGAAGAUACACCGAAGGCGCAUUUCAUCGGGUUCAGCCUCAUCCGGUAAUCUUUCAGUAUGCCGAACAUGAUCGACAAAUUGUGCAGGUGCUCUUCGGCAGUUCUGCUUUUUACCAACAUGUCGUCAACGUAGACCUCCAUGAUGCUGCCGAUGUAUUUGGCGAAGAUUCUGUUGACAAGCCUCUGAUACGUUGCCCCCGCGUUCUUCAGUCCGAACGGCAUGACAUUGUAACAGUACAACCCUCUGUCUGUAAUGAAGGCGGUGUGCUCGUUGUCGGGUGGAUGCAUGAAAAUCUGGUUGUAUCCUGAAUAGGCGUCCAUGAAGCUGUGCAAUUCGUGUCCGGCGGUGGCGUCCACGAGCUGGUCUAUCCGUGGCAACGGAAAGCUGUCCUUGGGGCAGGCCUUGUUCAGAUCGGUAUAGUCUUGGCACAUUCGCCAGCUGCCUGUACCCUUCCAGACCAUGACCGAAUUUGCCAGCCAUACUGGGUAUGUAACCUCCCUGAUGAAGCCGAUGGUUUGAAGUUUGUCAACUUCCGUGCGCAUGGCUUCGUACCGUUCGGCAUCAUACGAACGCCGCUUCUGUCUUACAGGCUUGUAGGCGGGGGAAAUGCUGAGUUUAUGGCUGACGAUCUCGGGGUCUAUGCCUGGCAUGUCUUCGUAAGAUCAUGCGAACACUUCCGAAUGGUACCGUAAGAAGUCUAUGAACUGCGUUCGGAGGGCAGGGGUUAGUCUAGUGCCGAUUCUAACCCGACGAUCGGGCUGCUCCUCGUUCAGGGUUAUCGUCUCCAGUGUUUCGGCAGGCUGUGUAUGAGGAGUCGGGGACUCAUCCCUGGGGUCAUCAAUUGGUCCCGUACCGUUCGGUAUCCCCUGAACAGACAUGGUCUCGUCGGGGACUUUGAAAGAGGUUGACUUGAUUGCCGUGGCGUAGCAAGUCCGCGCGCUUAGCUGAUUUCCCCUGACAGCCCCCACGCCAUUGGGGGUCGGGAAUUUCAUCAACAGCAUGUGUGGGGAAAGAUGCGCCUUGACCCUGGUCAGUGCCGUUCGUCCAACAAUGACGUUGUACGCCGUCGGGCAGUCAACGAUGAAGAACUGAUCGUACACCGUCGUUCUCCUUGGCGCGGUACCGAAGGUAAUUGGCAGUUUUACACUACCGACUGGUUGGACCAAGUCCCUAGAGAAACUUAGCAAAGGUGUCAACUGCCGGUCGACCUGGCUGUCCUUUAUUCCCAUUUCUCAGAAAGCUUCGGCAAAGAUCACGUUUACCGAGCUCCCGGUAUUGAUCAGUACUCGCCCUACAUCGUAAUCGGCGAUUUCAGCUCGGACAAUCAUUGGGUCGUCGUGGGGGUAGAGGAUGCCAUGUUCAUCUUCCUUGCAAAACGUUAUCGGCUCCCAAUGAUCUUUCGGUGUUUCAUGGUGGCGAUUCACCUCUAUGCCGAAUACCUGAGGAAACUGUGCAGCACGCACGUAUUGCUUCAUUGAACGGUUGCUCAGUCCUGCGAUGGUGGGGCCGCCGCUGAUAGUGCUUAUCAUGUUUAUCUGCCGAUUUGCAUUCGGCACGGGCGCCGGUUGCUGCCGGGCGAUAUACUGGUCAAGUUUCCCCUCUCUGAUCAACCGUUCGACAAUUUUUCUCAGACUUAUACAGUCUUCCGUAUUAUGGCUGUUGUGUUGAUGGUAUCGGCAGAAUUUACCGGUAUCCCGAUUGUCUUGCCGAUUGGGUCUUCGUUGAUUCGGCUUUGGUAUUAUUUCCUGUUCGUUCAUCAGGACUGCCUCGUAGGUAGUGUUCAGUAGGGUGAAGAUCUCACUGUCGUGAUCACGAUUCGGCAGGGGCGCUCGGUUGUCGUUGCGACCAUACUUCCCUUUUCCUUUCUUCGAGUGCUCCCUUCGAUCGGAGCGGUCGUCUUUCCUCUUAUGACCCACCGAGAAGGUGUCGACUCGCUCGUAGGGUGGCGCCUUUGCAGGAUAGGCACUUGGUUCCGCAUCUCCUCGUGGUGCCGAAACCGUGGGUUUCGAGUUGAAGUAUUCAGCCUUUGCGUGGAUUGCCGCCUGCUUCAUCAGUUCGUCGUACGUGCGCCAGUUGCUGCUGUGUACUAGGUAUCGGAAAUGCGAGGACCGAAGGCCGCUCUUGAAGGCGCCGUAGGCUGCCCUAUCAUCUGUUUCCGGACACCUUGAGUACUCAUGACUAAAGCGCGCCGCGUAUUCUCUCAACGGUUCGUCCUCUCUUUGCCGAAUCGUGUACAGAUCAUCGGAGGAGUAGAGACGGUCCGUUUGGAUCACGAAGUGGUUGAGGAAAAUCUGCUUCAGCUCGUCGAAGGAGGCUACCGUUUCCGGCUCCAACCGGUAGAACCAGUUCAGGGCCACCCCGGUAAGGGAGGACGGGGAUAGCAGGCACUGCCCUUCAUCGCUCAGGCCCUUGCAUCCGAUGGCGGACUGAAAUGAGUGGAGGUGUGUUAGGGGGUCCUCCGUUCCCGUAUAGAAUGGUAUACGCAGUUGCUGCACCUCCCUGUCCUGCCGAGAAUCCCGGAUGUGCCUGGUGAAUGGUCCGGGUCGAAGCUUUCCCCAUUCCAGUUCUUGGGAGCGAGCGUUGUCGUUUUCCAUCUUCUGGACUUUCUGAAAAAGGAGUCGGACAAUGGGGUCUCGGCUAGGGAUUUCUUCGGCGCCGUAAUCUUCCGAUUGUCGUUGUAGGCCCAGUGAAUUAUCUCCCGCACACCGUGAAGGUGUUGCCGAACGGUAGGUGGAAGUGUGUGUCUUGGUAGGGAUGUACUCGGAUUCCGACGACUCGGUAGGAUCUAGUCCUCUGACCUUCCGAAUAGGCGACUUGUCUCCUAGGAUUUUCAUCCGUGAGUCCCUUAUUCGAGCGCCAAUACCGAUCGGAGACCUCUCUCUCUCUGCCUCCCGAUCGUUAGCGCGACGUUCCCGAUCGUUUAGCCUAUGUCGGCAAUCGGAGUAGACUUUCCUGGGGAUGUGCGGCUGAUCCUUUGGUGCCGAAACUACUAGCUCUCUGGAAGGUGUGGGCGUUGCCUUCGCUACCUUCCUGCGUUUGUUCUUCCCACAGGGGGUCUGCAAGCUCUCGGAGGAGCGAGUUGUCUGGAUGUUCCGCGAUUGCUGCUGGUGAAGCAGCUGCUGGGUUUCGUCCACCUUGGACGAAAGAAAGUUGUUGUGUUCCUGAAGCCUCGCCAUGUCCUUCCGUAAGGUUGCGAUUUGGGCUGCCAGCUCGGCUUCGGCGGUUGUUUGGGUAGCGAGGGCGUUUCCGAAGGGAGUGCUUGGAGGUAGCGCUGGGCUAGCUCCGCUCUGCCUUCCGAACGGUACCCCAUCUUCCGUUAAAAACGUGGGUAUUGAAGUGGUCCCCAUGCGUUUUGGAGAUAGUGGGUUGAUGAUUUUUCUCGUUCCGAUUCCCACAGACGGCGCCAAACUGUUGAUGCGAAAAAAUGGUUUACCACUUAUUUCGUCAACUUAGUCAAAUUAUCCCUUCGGUAGGUGACUGUCCUCGGUAAGUGAUCUACUCCAGAGGGGUGAGUACCUACAAAGGACACGUUCGGUAAAUCCUUGGGGUACCGGUGCGGUACCGGCCGAAGGCUCUCCGAUGCUCAAGUAAGUACGGAUUUAGUAAAGUUUAACUGACAGAUCACACGAUAGCGUACCGUUAGUUCUGAUCCCUUCUUUUUGGGGAUAUGGGUCUCCUUAUAUAGGCCUUGGGAGGUGUGCACUGUGCUCAUAUUUCCGAUGUGGGACUCUGGACAUGAAUUGUGAGCAUGGCACGUGUCUGAUGGUGAAAGGGGCCAAGAUAGAUGGCUUCGGUAGGGAGCAUGCCGAAGAGGUCCGUUGAUCAGAAUCGAUCCUAUCCACGUGUUCGAUGGUAAUAGGCCGUUUAUUUCGGUAUAAACAAUCAAUAUGCAAUACUUGGACCAUAGUCUGAUAUCUGACUGCCCCACAAAUUUUUAAUAGGAAAGAGAGAGCCAUUAAAUUGGCUAACACUUGUGUAGCUAUUUUAAUACACAACUGUUCUGACUCGAAACUAGUAAGAUUCUAAUAACCACUAGCUGGUCAUGACGUUCAGGUCCAUGCUAACACUAUAAACAUAAUCUGCUGCUGUAAUUCCAGGAACACCUUGAGUAUCCCAAAUGGUGGGAUAUAACUUUUUAAACCAUCUGCCAUUAAUUGGGACCUCCUGCAAUUAAACAUGUGAUUCAAGGGGCAAAGUCAUUUAAAAUUUCGAUCUGAAAUUGAGUUCAGGAUUAUUUACCCCAAAAGGAAGUUACAUUAGAAGUUAUAAAUUGAGUUUAUUGUUGACCAAGAAACUCCCUGAUUUUUAUGAGCUAGGUGAAAAGAACUGCUAAUGCAUUACAGAACAAACGUCAAAUUACUAUCAAGAAUGCACACGUGAGUUAAGUUAGUUAGUCAAAAUCCGGUCUCUUGCAUUCAAGUUUGAAUUUUCAUAUCCUAGAGAAUUAGUCACAAGCGAGCUCUUAGACUAUCGAUUGUAUAAAAAAAUUACUAUCAAGAAUAAUAAUAUUAAUAUAAAAAAAGGCUUAAGUGCUACAAUGCCCCCUGAAACAUUUGUCAAUUCCCACUAAACCCUCUUAAAGUUAAAGUGACCCACUUUGCUUCCUUGACUGAUGUUUUGUGUCUCACUUUGCCCCUCACUAUUAAAUCUGUUAAAAAUUCCGUUAAAAAUGUUGACGUGACACCAAUGAGACUCACUAUUUUGCUAAACUAAGUGCUCGUUUGACAUUGCUUAUUUGGGGUGAUAAGUGAUUUUUUAAAAAUUUUGGGAAGCCCAACCCGUUUGGUAAACUGUGAGAAAAUCACUUAUUGUUAAAAAUUGCUGUGAGAGAAAGCUAUAAAGGAAAGCAGCUAAUGAGGUGCUUUCAUUUUCUGAUUAUGCAGGAAUCAGUUUCGAAGAGAAGCUGGGUUUAAUGAUUAAUCGGCAAUCAUUUUCUGAUUAUGAGUAAAAUCAAUACCAACAACACUUUUAACAAAAAUUUUACCAAACGCCAAACUACUUUCUCUCACAGCUGAUUUCUCUCACAGCAAAUUUGACAGCGAUUAUUUUCACAGCACAACAAUGCCAAACUGGCCCAAGUGUCAUGUGUGAAGAAAAAAAAUUAAAAAUUAAAAAUUAUCUUUUAAAAAACUUAAUUUAACUAUUAAAAAUAAAAAUUAUACUUUAAAAUCUGUGUUUUUGGUACCUUGACAGCAAUCUAGAAGAAAACCUUGUUCCCAUUUACAUCGAAUCUUAUCAGCGUACAUAAAAUCAGAUCUCCAAGCCAAACUUCCAUCCAUUCUUCUCAAGGAGAAACUCUCCACCAUCACAUAACAGCCAAACUUCCUCCACCCAUUCUCACUUGGAAUCUCUUCCACCCUCUCCACUCUCACAUCCAUUUCAUCCCCAUUAACCCAUCCUCCUGCCUCUAAAACUCAUCUCGUAUUCUGAACAAUUGCUGAACUCAAACCUACACUCACCACUUUCUUGCUAUGUGGGUUUACCACUCUGACAGAAGACUGAUCUUAAAGGUGAGUUAUUUUAAAAUCAAACCACUCUGCAACAGUUCUUGAAGGGAUGAGGUUUUAAAUUUUGAUUAUUUUGCAGGGAUUUUGUAAAGGCCGUAGAUGAUUUUCAUGAGAAGCACUGUAUUGGAAAAGGAGGGUUUGGAAGAGUAUACAAGGCAGAGCUGCUAUCAGGUCAAGUUGUCGCAGUUAAGAGGCUUAACUUUGGAGAUUGAUUGCUGGAAUGUCGUUAGAAUCUGACGACAAGUUAAGCCUCUUAACUGCGACAACUAGACCUGAUAGCAACUCUACCCGUCCGUUUCGUCGACCUCCAGCGAGGAUCCACCCCAAUUCCUCUUUUCUUUGGAAUACUAUUUGAUGACUGUUGCAUAUUCUUAGGGAGUGGGUCGCGAGAGAAGAAGAGGGAGGAGCAGUCGGGAGUGGUUGUGGCGGUGGUGAUGGCGACUGGGAAGAGAUAAUGGGGUUGGAGGAGGGGAAUUUGGGAUUUUUUGGUUUUAAUAAUUAAAUUAAUUUUUUUUAAAGAUAAUUUUUAAUUUUUUUCUUCACACAUGGCAUUUAGUUUAGUAAAAUAGUGAGUCUCAUUGAUGUCACGUCAGCAUUUUUAAUAUAAUUUUUAACAGAUUUGACAGUGAGAGAGUAAAAUGAGACACAAAAUAACAAAAUAUCGAUCAAGGGGUUUAGUGGGAAUUUAUCAUUGAUUCAGGGAGCACCCGUAGCACUUAUGCCUGUGAAAAAAUAAAAGAGAAAAGUAGUGGGUGUUAAGUUUACUGAGUUUUACGAGUACACAUUUGACUCAAUCCGUUAAGAAAUGGGUCAGCUUGUUAUGGAUUCGACCCAAUGAAAUCCGAUCCGACCCAAAAUCCUAAAAAUUUCUUCUACUUUUGACACGUAGAAAUUGUAACCGUACGUUGAGGGGGAGAGAUUUUACAUCAAACACUCCGCUGGACUGAAACUUGAGCCACUCUUCCUUCUCCAAAUUUCGAAAAUGAACAACUUUCUCACCGUCGUUUCUGCUUCUGUAGCUGUCGUCCUCGCCAUUAUAGCCUCUCUUCCUCUUCUCAAACCCAACCACCGUACAAAUGAUAAACUUUCAUCAUAUCUUUCUUCUUAAAGUUUCAGUUUUGAUCUGAAAUUUGGAUACUUCGAUUUUUUUUUUUUUUUCCAGAGUUGUUAAGUUGGAGGUCUCCAAUGGCGGACUUGGUGGUGAAAAAUGCCAAGAUAUACACCAGUGACGAGUCUCUCCCUUUCGCCGAUUCCAUGGCCGUCCGCAGCGGAAGGGUUCUGCGAGUGGGCAACUACUCCUCUAUUAAGGUUCACCAUUUGCUUCUUUGCCUCGCUCCUUACCUCCCUCCUUCUUAAGAAUUGAAUGUAUUGGUCGGUUUUUGUGAUGCUUGUGAGAUUGCAGCUCGGAACCAAAUAUUUGGGCCAUAAAUUUUGUUGCAUUGAAUCCGAAUAGCUAGUGGGUAGGUACUUACUAUUGUUAUGAGAAAGAAGUUGUGAGAAAGAAAACCUUUUCAAGUUAUUCUUAUUGCGUGAAACAGUGGAAGCCAUGUAAAAAGAUGGUAAUAUUAUGAUUGCUAGUAGGAGAGUCAAAAUUAUUGUUUGAGUGGGUUUUUUAAGAUUCUUAAAAUGGUAAUGUUUUAAUUGUCUGAAAAUUUCUGAAAGUAGGGGUUUGAGGGUGACUAUAUAUGAUGAAAUGUAACUCUCGGAAAAUCCAUUUUCAUUGAUGGUCAACCAGAAACUGAGAAGUGUUGUUUCAGGGGGUUUCACUAAAUUCUCAUGAGGCUAGAGAAACAUAGGUACAAUUAGUAUGAUUGCAUAACUUUUCUAUGUUAUAAGAAGCCACAUUCCUUAUCUUGGUCUGCAAACUGUAAUGAUCUGUGGUUCAUCUUACUAUGAUCCUCGACUAAUGGAUCCUCUGUGAGAAUGGUCCAUUUACUCAACUAUGAAGUGUAUUUUACCUCCUUACUUUUCCAAGAAACUGUGUAAUUUUCCGUCUGUUUAUCUAAACAGCUUGAUUGAUAUUUUGCUGUUAUUGUUGACCACUACAUUGUUUUUGUCUAAUUUCAAAGUUGCGUGUCCGUAGGUUUUGGAUGGCCCAUUCAGGUGUUGUCUUUUCUAUCUUUCUAUGUUUCUUUUAUCUACUUAUAUGGAUUUUGUGGUCUCUUAUAUGUAUUAUCUUUUCUGUCAUUCUGGCAAACCUUAUAACCUCUUCAUUGCAUCAUAUGGAUUUUGUUGUUAGUUUCCAACAAAAGUAUUUAAUCCAGUAAAUUGUAAAAAUACCCUUCCCUUAUACAUUCAUUCAAAUGCAGGAUAUGGUUGGAGAUGGUACCAAGGAGUUAGAUCUUAUGGGAAAGAUUGUUGUACCUGGAUUUAUUGAUUCCCACGUGCAUCUGAUUUCUGGUGGACUCCAGGUAUGGCACAAGUGCCAUAGUUAAAAUUGAUCUUGUUUCGAAUAUUAUAUGCUCUUUUUGCCCUUGAGAAACUACUGUCUGUAAUGAAACAAUUAAAUUUUUUUUUGGAGGAGAAACAUGCUUUAUUUCAAACAAAAGCUAUGUAGAACGAUGUGGAUGGGACAUCCACAGACAACUUAGCAUAAGAAACAAAACACCAAAACACAAUAUCUGACAGUAAGAUACACAUCAUCAUAGAACAAACUGAACCACAGCUAACAAAUCCGACAGAAUAGAUGAAUAAGGAAUCCCCCUGAAGUAUACAUAAACUGAUGCCCACAAUGCUGACCAACAUCCAACUCAACUCAAAAGAUCUUCCACUCCCACCCCUUUGUAAUCCUUAAAAUUCUCCUAUUCUGCUCCAUCCAAAUUACCCAAAAGAUGGCUAAUACUAGACAAAUUACCAAAAAUAUAGCUAACACCAGACUGCCCCACAAGGUUUUGGCUCUCCUCCCCUUCCCCAAAGCCUUGAAAUGAAUGCUGAACAACUCGAAAACCCCAUUACACAUCAAUUGUUCAAGGCUUGAGUUCCUUGCAUCAUGCAUCUUCCAUUUCAAACUGUUGUUGAAGUGUGUUACAUAUUUGAAUUUUUAUUUUUUCCAGAUUUCAAUUUGAUUCAUUGGAUAUGCCACUACGAGUUUGUGUUAUGUGUGUGUGUUCAUUUAUGUGAAAAUUUCAAUAAAUCUGUGAACUGUCUGGCUUGAACUAGUUUGAACACUCAGGUUUGUACUGUCGGGAAAUCUAUAAUGUCUGAAACUUUCAUUCAACAACUUCAAUGCUUCACGAGUAUUUAAACUGUGUUUCCAACCUUCCAUCUUUUUUUUUUUUGGGCAAAAUUUGUGUAACAUAACUUUGUACAAUAACCAAAUGAUUUAUUAUUUAUCUAUUUUCCUUUGCUUAAUUGAAGUUUCUAUAUAUGCAUUCGAAAUUUUCCUGAUUGGAAAACAGAUGGCGCGUGUGGAACUACGAGGCGUAAGUCAAAAAGAUGAAUUUGUGAGGCGGAUCAAAGAAGCAGUGAGAAGUCAGUUCCCUGCCUUUUUAUAAUUUUCUCAAUUUAUCAUGCAACUUAUAGACACAGGAAUGUCAUGCUAGACAUGUCUAUUCAUAUUCUUGUUUGAGUUAGAAAAAUGCACAAAGUAUGUGCCAAAAUCUUUGAUUGUUCUUUUUUGAAGGUUUGGCUGUGAAGUCCUAAUGUAAAAUUGUUACGAUUCCAGUUGUUAAUCAAGAGUUAGGGGCUCUUCUCCCAAGCUUUAGGAUGGGCAAUAUGGAAGCUCCAUAAGUUAUUGUAAGAACAUAUGUGAAGCAGACAGGAGUUAAAUUCAAACAAUUAAACUGGCCACGUAGAUGUUAAAGGUCAUAGAAUAAAAGGUAGGGCGUUUCAUUUAGUAAGAAAUAUUAAACCAUUAAUCACUCUUCUUUAUGUGUUUGUUGAUCACCAUUUAGCCUGCAAAAAUAGUUCUGGAGAGGGAGUAUUUAUUGAUGAUGACUACGACUAACAAUCUGAUAUAAAUCACUUUUAAUUAUGAAAAGCAGUUGUGCAGACAGAGCAUCAUUGGCAAUGCCUAAAAUUCUUAUAAAAUGGAUGUUCUGAAAUAGCCAUUGAAUGUUUCCAAAAUAAAUAUUAUUGUGUUUGUUAAAUUGUAUAGUCUUUUGAAAUCUCGUAUUUGAAAGAAAAUCAAAUGAAAAAUCAGAUGCAAAUAAAGGUUCCUGGAUUUUGGGUGGUGGAUGGAACAAUGAUCUUUGGGGAGGGGAAUUGCCGAUGGCCUCUUGGGUUGACGACAUCACACCUUACAAUCCUGUAAGUCAUAACCAAAUGAAUUUCGGGUGCUUUGAUAGUUUUCACAAUAGUAUUUUUAUUUCAUUAAUAUACAUUAUUUUACAGGUUUGGCUGUCGAGGAUGGAUGGCCAUAUGGGCUUGGCUAAUUCAGUUGCACUCAAGUUGGCUGGGAUUACAACUUCAUCAGAAGAUCCAAAUGGUGGAACAAUUGUGAGAUUCACCAGUGGAGGUAUUAUUUAACUGCGUUCAUAUGUCAUAGAUGCUUUCAGUGGGCCAUCCUGAAUCUUUUCAAUUCUUUGGAUAUAACAACCGACAUGGAAGUGUUGAGGGUGUUGGAUAUUUGUGGACAUGACAUUUUUGUUACCCACGUCCCAAUAAUUUGCUUGAUUUAUUCAAGAAGAUUGCAAAAGUUUUAAGUCUUUCUGUAAAAAUGGUAAAUUACAACAAGAAUACAUAAUUAUUUACUAUUAGUGGCCCUUAAUGAAAAAACAUGCAUGGCUGUCCCUUACAUGUUUUGGGAUUUCCAUAUUUGACAACCCAUAUCAAGUUAUAAAAUGACAUCCGUAUUGUACCUACAAAUCAUAGUGAUUGACUUGACACUGGAGUCACAAUUAGGACCUAUUUAUAUGGAUUCUGACAACCUUAACAUUAGGAAGAAGCCUUGGACAACUGUUGGAUAGAUUUUAUUUUAUUUCUUUCUAAAAAGAAACCCGAAAUUUAUUAACAACUAUGGAAGUAGGAUGGAUAAGAAGUUCAUCAUAUCCAGAUCUACACCUCAAGCGAGCAUUUAUUACAUGCAAUUCAAAAGUCUCCCGAGAGAGAUUAAUUGCACUACAAGGGAUUAUCACUCUAAAAUGAUGACAAAGACAUAGGAGAAUCUUUUUUUUCUUUUUUCUUUUUUAAAUCUAAAAGUAGAUUGAAUUUGUCCGCCUUUUCAUCUGUUUUCUGGUUGUUUACAUCUUUAGAUAAGUAACAGCUACUGGGAGAAAUUACUUAUCAUCCAACUCAUCGUUAUGCAGAACCUACUGGAUUGCUGAUUGAUUCUGCAAUGAAACUUCUCCUUCUAUCCAUUCCGGAGGUGUCAGUAGAGGAGCGGAGGGAAGCUUUGAGUAGAGCCAGCAAUCAUGCCUUGAUGAGGGGUGUGACAACAGUUGUUGAUGUU